UGAAUUCCAACCUACCUCAUCAUAUUUGCAGUGAAAUGCCAAUCAAAAAGUAUACUCUAUCACAUUCCUACAUAAAUAGCAUCCAUCCCCAAAAACAACACCUUUCAGGUUCAUCCAAAAACAUAAUUUCAGCUAAACAAAGCACCAACACUCACAUCAGUCACAUGCUUUAGGCCUUACAGAAGAAAAAAAAAAAGCACAAACACAUCACAGAGCAAAAUUUUGAUAUAAAAAACAUUGAAACACAAUUCUAUCACUUUGGUAGAGAACUGCAAAUUGGUUCUUAUGUACUAGUUCAUGGUUCUUUUGUGAAUUUGGUUCCCUAUAAUGAACGUACCAGAUUUUCAAGUAUAGUUUAAGUUAAAGAAAGAACAGAGAAAAUAAGAGCACUCACCUACAUGAAUCAGUUACAACAAAACAAGAAAUAAUUUUACCAUAAGAUAUUUCUCCUAUUGUGAAGCAAAUUCAUUCAAACCUACAAUAAUUAACACUAGAAACGGCUAUAGACGGAGCUAUAUAAACCCAAUUGAGUAUACCACUAGCGUAUCGGUAUUUGACAGGAUACCCCUAGCGUACCGAUAACGUAUCAUGUACCAUAAAGAAGUGCAUAUCGGGUGACUAUGAUAAAAAACAAAUUGAGAAAGUAAUAGGUAUUAACACUUGUGAAAUCUGUUAUGAAUAGUAAAGCAGAAUUAAAAAAGUGAAAAAUUUGAAACAAAUGUUCCUAUUUGGAUUGAGCUGUUCCUUUGUGUUCAUUUUUUAGCCUUUGCAAAUCUGAGACAACGGUAUUUUUCACCACUUACUGUAAUUUCAAGUGCCCCAUCUUGAUUAUCUUGAUUUGAUGCAGUUCCCAUUAAAACACUUUUCUCUUUCUCAAGAUUCUCUCUCUCCAUUUUCAACCUUGCUUCUUGUCGUGCAAUCUCAGCCUAUAACAUCAAAAAACAAUUCGGAGAGUCUUACAUCAUUAGAUCAACGUCUUUUCGGCAUCGACUAGAAGAAAAUAAAAUAAAAUAAAAAAGAAAUAUAGAGAAAUGGGUAAUAAACCUGACGGCGAGAAAGUUCAGCUUUCCAAGCAGAUUCACGUUCAGCAACUUCACGUUCACGUUCUUCAAUAUAACUUUGCAUUUCUCUUUCCUUCAUUAUUCUAUCUUGAAUAUCAGCAUCUAAUGCUUCCUUCAACUCUUCAACAAAUUUGUCAACAACACCUUUUAUUCUUAGAGACAUGAUUCAUUAAUUCUUUCUUUCUUUCUCUGUUUCUUCACUUCAUCACCAUUUAAUAAUAAUCAACUUUAUAAACAACAAUUAUUUUGGGUUUUCCAUUCGGCCCAUUUUAUGUGUCUCUUUUUCUUCCUUUUAUUUUAGCCCACACAUUAUUAUGCUUACAUUAUAUCAUUUUUUAUAUUAUGUAUAUUAUGAUUCAUAUUUUUUAUUUUAAUUUUAUAAUAUUCCGUGUAGAGAUAUAUAGUACAUUUCUAGAAAUACGCUUAUUCAAUUAUAUACAUGUACAUGUGAAAGUUUAUUUAUAACUCUUAUUAAAUACUAAAUAUUCAUCAACAAAACAUUAGUCUAGUAAUGUAAGACUCUGCUAGGUCAUUUGAAAGACAGUCACACAUAUAGAAAGCGAUUAAUUUCUUACACAUAAGGUGAUAUAUCCUUCAUAAUACCAAAAAAUAGUAAAUCUUCCUAUAGAUUAGCAAGAUUAGAUAGUGUAUGUUAAACUUUGAAAUAGAACAAACUAAAACUUAAAGUUUUGUUUAUGAUAGACUAAUAGACUAAUCUUAGUUUGGAACACAUUCCAUAUAUCCUGUAAGACUUGGUCUAGUUUAAGUUUAUUCCUAAUUUAAUAUUAACUUUAUGCAUAGACUAAUUUUACUAAUAAUUAAAAUUUAAAAAAUAAUUAAGAAUAAAAAUGCGUCAUAACACCAUAUUUAAAAAACAUAAAAAUGCUUCUAUAUCUAUAUCAAUACCUAUUUCUAUAUUUAGAUCUAUGUUUAUAUUUGUAUAUGUGUGUGAAUAUGUAUAUGUAUCUACAUCUGUAUUUGUAUUUGUAUCUGUAUCUAUAUCUACAUCUACAUUGAUAUUGACACCUACACCUAUAUCUAUGAUCUAUCUAUAUCUCUAUUUGCAUUUGUGCCUCGCCCAACACCCCUCGAUGCACACACAACGCCCAGUCUUGUUUUCCCAUGCUUCGAUCAAGUUAGUUCAUGCCUCACAUUAUGCAAUUUAUGAAUUUGACACCCACUUGGCCUUGCUUUGGCCACCAUCUUUAAUAAUUUCUACGAGUUGUCCUAGGACAUUUUGUGCCCUUUUGGUCUUUAUCCUUGUCAUAGGGCCACCAAUUCGUUCUAGGCCUUCAUGGUCCAACUUUAGCUCACUUGGGUUUGCACCAUUCCCUCCUUUUCGGAGUGAAUUUAUCCUCGGAAGUCUUCACCACCUGCAUCAAAGAAAGACAAAUCAACAACAUUGAAAGUAGCACUUAUAUUACCAAACUCACUUGGGAGGUCUAACUUGUAGGCAUUAUCAUUGAUCCUUUCCACCACAUGAAAUAGACCAUCUCCCCUUGGUUGAAGUUUAGAUUUCCUUUGGUUAGAAAACAUCUCCUUCCUUAUAUAAACCUAAACCCAAUGCCCGGGUUGAAAGACCACAUGCUUUCUUCCCUUGUUAGCUUGCUUAGCAUAACUCUCAUUCUUUUUUCUCAAUUUGAACCUUGACUUAUUCAUGCAACUUUUUAACAUACUUAGCCUUGGCCUUCCAUUCCUAUGCUUUAAAAGAGAAUGGUUAGGAAAUGGUAACAAAUGAAGAUGUGUUAGUUGGUAGAACCUAUAAACAAUUUCAAAAUGUGAAAACUAAGUAGUGUCAUUGAUUGCUCUAUUGUAAGCAAACUCAACAUAGGGUAAACACUCCUCUCAUGACUUAAUAUUGAUCUUUAUCACGACUAUCAUUGGAAAUUUGGGCAAAGCCCAUGGGGCACGCCCGCCUGCCCACAUCUAUCAAGCAGGCAAGACAUGAAAAAUAUGCACAUCCGCCAUAAAAUACCUGCCCAACAUGCCCUAUUCGGAUACGGGCAUAACGGGUGGCCCAUAGACAUUAUUAUAAAAAGUAUUGAACAUCAAAUAUGUAAAUAUAUAUGUAUUUUGCUAAUAUGAGAAAGUGUGUUCCAUUUUUUAUAUAUGUAUUUGUAUAUAAAAUGUGAGAAAGUAAUAUUGUUUUCUUAUUAUAUAUUGCAUUUAUAUUUUGUAUAUUAUAUACGCAUAUAUACUAUUCCUUUUGUAUUUUGAAUGCAAAUUAUGUACUAUAGUCUAUAAACAUUUUAUAUUAUAUAUACAGUUGUAUUUUAUGCAUUGUUCCAUUUGUAUGAUUAUGAUAAAUAAAUAUAUUUGUAUAUUUGUAUGCAAAUUAUGUAUUAUUUAUUUCGUAUGACUAGUCUAUAUACAUUUAUUUAUAUAUACACAUUUAUUUAUAUAUAUAUUAUUUAGGUUGGCCCAUAAGCUCGCACUGCCCAUGUUUAGGGUAGACAUGACAUUAUAUUUCACGCCCUAUUUAAAAAGGGCAAGCCCAUGCCCUUCCUAAUUUAAGUCAGCAUAGAAGGGCACGAGAAGGGCAGUCCUAAUUGCCAAUACUAUAUGCGACAAACAAGUUGAGCUCACACUUUUCCAAGAAUAACGUGAAUGAGAUGGUAAAAGUAUCUGCACACCUGAAGACCUUCAAGAAUAGUUACAAUUGAUACUGAUAGUAAUAGAUAAUAGGCGAGAACUUGUAUCAUAAUACUCGUUUACAGUUGCUCAUAAAUUCAUAAAUAUUUUUUUAAUUAUAUAUUUAUAUAUUGCAUAUUUUUUAUUUCUUUCAUAAUAUAUAAUCCAUUUUAUCGAUAAUUUUUAUAAAUGUUAGAUUAUUUUCAAAUCAUAUAUAAACUAUUUUAUCAAUCAUUUCAUAAUGAAUUAUAGUGAUUAAACUACAAUAGCAAACUUAUUAUAUACGCAUAUGAUUAUUUAUGAUGUAAUAAUUAUUUUUAUAUGUAUUUAUUAUUAUAAAAUAUUAAACUUGAAAGUUCAUUUAUUAUCAUUAGCGUUGACAAUUUAAGUUACAACCAUGAGGACUAUUCGUCUGUAUUUAUUGGGUAGGCAAAACAUAAAAAUAUAUACAUUAGUCCAAAAUCUCUGAUUUGCCUGUGGGCAUUUUAAUAGGUAGACUGGGUCAUGUGCGAACAUCAUAAUCUUAAUUAUUAAUUGUUACAUUUUGAUUUUUCAUUAAACUUGAAGGAUAAGUAGUAUUAAAUAUUUUGAACUAGUAAAUUGGUAUGUAUAACUAUAAAAUAUGAUAUAAUAUUAUUUUUUAUUUUUGUUUAAUUUUACUUUAUGUACAUUUUAUUAUUAUUUUGUUUACUUUUUUAAUUGUUAGUGGGCGAUCCGUAAAUCCGCCUUGUCCAUAUUAAGGACAAACAAAGCAUGACAUUUCAUGUCACAAACGAAUAUGCCGAUACUUGUCUUAUUUAGACAUAUAUUAUAUGGGCAUAAGUAGAGCAGUCCAAAUUGCUAAUGAUAGCAUACCAACAUAAACAAGGGUGUAAGAAGAGAGACGAGGAAUCAAAAGAUAAAUUAUUAAACCCAAGAGACUUUAAAUAAACAUCUAAUAGAUAUUCUAUAUAUAUUAUAAGAGUGUUUAUCUCUUUCAGAAUACAUAAGCUAUUUUAUAGAUAUUUUACAUAUAUUAUAAAUUUUAUUAUUUUAAUAUCAUAUAUAAUUUAUUUUAUUAAUUAUUUCGUAAUGAAUUUUAGUGAAUAAACUAUAGUAACAAACUUAUCAUAUACAUAUGUGAUUAUUUAUGAUAUAAUUAUUAUUUAUAUAUAUAAUUAUUAUUACAAAAUAUUAAACUUGAAUUCGCUAUCAUACAUACCAACAGGGGUGUGACUGUGUGAGAAACGAAACAAGUGAACAUUUUCUGAAAUAUGUAAUUGAAAAAACUCCCCAAACAUAUUUUCAUUUUUACCUUACAUUGAUAAUGGAAAUAGGAAAUGAUUAAACUAAAGAGACUGGAAUAUUGUAUCAAAAUAAACAUGUUAUUGCACAAUUUAUUCAUUGAUAAGAAUUUAUUCAUCAUGUUAUGGGCAUGCCAAACAUGAACAUUGAUCCUUCAUGGAUUUGCAAUAUAACUAAUAAUUAUGAAUUAUAUAAGGCAUGUCAUUAUGGAGUGGAUUAGAACCAGUUGGAACUUUUCUCAGCUUUCUAACAACACGAGAUGAAAUAGUAGAAGAAAUAGUAGUAGAAAUAGUAGAAGAAAAAGGAUUCACUUUUUCAUUUAGAACCUUAGCCAUUGCAAUAUUUGGAAAUAGUGCCAUGAGAAACCCUGCUAACAAUAAAAUUGUUGAAACCAUUGAACUUAUCAAUGCCAUCUUUGUCUAACAAAAUUAUACAAAGGGUCCACGAUCACCACUUUCCUUUUGCUAUUGCUUUAGGAUAAUAUUAUAGAAAAAACUUACUUACUACCAUUUUAUAAUGGGAGUUUUGAAACACAGAAAAAAUGAAAUGAAUAUACUGGUGUAUAAAUUUUAUAAACUGUCACUAUAUCCUCUACCAUUUAUAUUUAAUUAUUAUUAUCUCUUCAAAAAAGUAAUCUAAAUGAAUGUUGGAUAAUAUAACGACUGUAUAUAAAUCUUUACAUUGACAAUAUACAUAUAUUACACUCUUUAAAAUAUUCAUUUAUUAUUUACCUUUGUGUGUAUAUAUUUAUUAAUGACAUAAUUUUUAAGAAAAAUCAUUUCUACUAUUGGAGAAAUUUCUUGUCACCUUUAAGAGCAAAAGAAAAUAUCACUCCUACUUACUACCAUAUUUACCACUAAUUUUACAGUAUUCUUUAAUAUGCAUUUAUUAUUUACUCGUUUUGUGUGUAAUUAUUUAUUGAUGACAUAAUUUUUAAGAAUAAAGAUCAUUUUUACUAUAGAUGAGUUCUUGUUUUUUUUUUAAGAGUAAAAGUGUAAUUUAUUUUCAUUUACUACCAUUUUAUGAGAGUACAUCUUCUGUCCCAUAAUUUGUACUACUGAAUGUGCCAUCAGUUGUGAUUGGUCAAAAAAUACUUAAUAAUUAAACUUUUAAUUUAAAUGUAAUUUUUCAAAUAAUAACAACUGAUGGCACAUGUAAUGCAAUAUUAGAGAGAAUUUUUUUUUGUUUUUAGUUUUAAGAGUAAAUAUGUAUUCUUAUUUCCACUUACUACCAUUUUAUUUGAGUUGUUUUGUAAUAUUUUUAAUGAACAUUUAAUAUUUACUCUUUUUGUGUAUAAAUACUUAUUGAUGACAUUUAUUAUCUAGUAAAAUGAGUUAUUAUUUUUUAUUUUAAGGGUAAAAGUAUAAUUUCGUUUACACUUAUUAUCAUUUUAUACCAGUACUUUAACCAUCAUCAAUGACAGAAGUUAUAUCUCAGCUUAACCAUCAUAGACAGAAGCAAACCAACCAUUGAUAUUGAAAGAGAGAAUGGAUCAGAAUCUUGAUCCUAAUGAGAUGUUUCUAUGAUGAAUAAGAAAGAGGGAUAAAUGAUGAAGAAUAAGAAAAUGAUGUAAUCUUGUAUAGGAUAAAUUGGUCAUAAUACUCCAUUCUUGAAGAGCUUGAGAAUAUCAAGAAGCUAGCUUUUGUACUUGAAAAGAAUUCUUGACCAAAAGCAAACUCCUUUGAUCUAAAUUUGAAGGUCGAUGAAGAAGGUGAUAAUGAAGAAUUUAGUGCCAUAUGUUGAAAAAAAUAUUGGAUGCUGAAGAACAGCGAUAGAGCAAUCAAAGAAAUCAAGAUAGUCUUGCCACAUGCAACAUUGUCACAUAUUGGAAGCUAAAUAACACUAAUGAAGGCCAUUGAGAUGAAAAAGAAAGCAUCACCAUGUUCUUGAUUGUUGAAGUUUUCCAUAAAAUCCUUCAUGGAAUCAUAAGCGGAAGCUAUCAAAAGAUAAUUAUGUCCUGAUACCAUGUUAAAAUGUGGUAAAAGCUAUCAAAAGAAAGCUUAAAGAAAGAAGAAUGAGAAACAAAAAUUGAUAAUAUUCUCAUUGAAUAAAUUGAAUUGAUUGAAUAAGAAGUGAGCCAAUAUGACUUAUUUAUACAAGAGAAAAAAAUAAAAGAAAGCUUGUAAAACAAGUAACUAACAUAAACCUAACUUACUAAUUCCUAACUUUUUAACCAACUAUCAUCUUUCAAAAUAACCUAUAAUAUAUCUUUAAUAAAUUAGGGCAGUUUUUAUCAUUUUAAGAAUAAAUAUGUUCCUAAAAAGUAUGUCAUAAAUAAAUAAUUAUACACAACAAGAGUUAAUAAUAACUGAAUAUUACAAAACAACUCGAAUAAAAUGGUAGUAAGUGAAAAUGAGAUUACGCUUUUAAUUUUAAAGCAAAAACGAGAAUUUCAUGACAUUUGUUGUUUAAAAUUUAUGUCAUCAGUAAAUAAUUAUACACAAAAGGAAUAAAUAAUAUAUGUUCUUUAAAAUAUAUUAUAAUACUACUAGUAUAAAACGGUAGUAAGUGGAAAUGAGAUUACAAUCGUACUCUUGAAAGCAAAAAACAUGAACUCUUAUCCAAUGGUGAAAGUGAUAUUUGCUCUUAAAAAUAAUGUAUUAAAAAAUAAUUAUACAAUGGUAAUAACUGAUAAAUAAUUAUACAAUGUAAUAACUUACCAAUAAUUAUACAAUGGUAAUAACACCAAUACAUAAAUAAUUAUACACUAGAAGAGGAAAUAAUAAAUGGCCAUUAAAUAAUAUUGUAAAAGUACUGGUAUAAAAUGGUAAUAAUUGAUAAUGAAAUUAUACUUUUACUCUUAAAUUAAAAAGCAAUAACUCCCUUUACUAUAGUGAAUCUGAUAUUUGUUCUUAUAAAUUAUAUCAUCAAUAAAUAAUUAUACACAAAAAUAGUAAGUAAUAAAUGUCUAUUAAAGAAUAUUACAAAAUAACUCUAGUAAGUGAAAAUGAGAUUACAAUUAUACUCUUAAAAUAAAAAAUAAGAUCUCCACCUCAUGUAGUUGAAAUGAUAUUUGCCCUUUAAAAUUUUUGUCAUCUAUAAAUAAUUAUAUUAGUAAGAUUAUGUCUUCAAUAAAUAAUUAUACACAAAACAAUUAAUAAAAGAAAAUACCAGAAUAUUGCAAAACUACUUUUAUGAAAUGAUAAUAAAUGAAAAUAAGAUUACAUUUUUACUCUGGAAAGCAAAAAUAACAACUCCCAUCUCUAGUAGUGGAAAUGAUGUAUGUUCUUAAAAAUUAUUUCAUCAAUAAAUAUAAAGGUAAAUAACUAAUGGUCAUUAAAGAAUAUUGGAAAACCAUCAAUAUAAAAUGAUAGUAAGUAGGUUUUUUUCUUGAUAAUUUCAUAAACAAAAGCUAUAGGGUGAUCACUAAGUGGACCCAUAGUAUUUUUGUUAGAAACAGAAAAAUAAAAAAGAAUGGAAUGUGUGCUUGUUUUGUGUAUUGUUGUGAAUGGAGAUAUGCAUCAAGAAAGUUAUGACAAAUUCUACUAACCUCAUUACAAAGUCUCAAAAUCCCAAAGAAAACAUUUGUUUCACUCAACUCUUUAAGUGUAAAGCCCUUGCAAGUGCUCUCUUGCUAUAUUCCAUAACCACAUCUUCUUUAAUUAGUCACCAUUUCAGAAAGAGAAAGAGAAGCCAAUGGUGGUAUAUUCCAUAACCACAUCUUCUUUUAUUGCAUAAUAAUUGCAAAGUAAAAUCAAAUAGAAACCAAACAGAGUAGACAAUUAAAAAAGAAAAGUGUAAUAACUUGGCUUUGGUAUAAUAUCACAGUCCUUAUAUUUAUGAAAUUAUUCUCAUUCCAAAACUUUUGAUGUUUAAGUAUAUACAUUUAUAUUUUCUUAUUAUGUAUAUACAUUUAUAUUUUGCCAUAUUAUAUAUAUAUAUAUAUAUAUGUAUUAUUCCUUAACCAACAAGGCGUUGGUCUAGUGGUAUAAGACUUCAUUGGAUCUCCAAGAUCGAUGGUUCUAUUCUUGGGAGAAAUAAUUGUUAGAAGAAACAACUACGAAACCCUAAAAUGAAUUAGUUUCUUAUUCAAAAAAAGUAAGGGGACCAUUAGCAGUAUCAAAAAUAUAUAUGUACUAUUUCUUUUGUAUUUUAUAUGUAAAUAUGUACUAUGCAUAUUUUGUAUUCUAUAUUAUAUUUAUAUUUUAUAUGUAUUGUUCCAUUUGUAUGAUUGUUUAUUAUGAUAAUAAACAUAUUUGUAUGUAAAAUAUAUAUUAUUUAUUUUGUAUUAAGUGUAUAUAAAUUUGUAAAUAAUUUUUAAAAUUUGUUUAGAGCAGCACACAAGCCGGUCUUGCUCAUGUCUAGGGUGCGCAUCACGAGUUUGUUUGGCUAAAAAAAAUUAAAAGUUAAUACAUUUUGAAUUGAAUUUAUUCUACUUCAAUAGUUUUUAUUUGAUAUAAAUCAAGAGUAUUCCCACCUUAUAGAUAAGAAACUAAUAUCUUUCAUAGUGCAUAACUUCCCUCAAUAAGUUUCAUUCAUAUAAAUCAAACUACCCUUUAGCCUAAUUUAAUAUCUAGGGAUCCACACUAUCUCACCAACACCUGAUUGAUAUUCUAUUUGAGUGACAUAUGACAAUCAAUUUUAUCUCUUUAACAAUAUAGUAACGAGGCAUAGAAAUUUUAAGUUCAUUAAUCAUAAGAAGUGGCAUAUGAGUAGAGUGGCUAUGGGUUCAGAAUAAAUCCAAAAUUCAGGAUUUAUAUAUUAUAUACACUCAUAGAUGUUUAAGGGUUACAUUUCAUAUUUUUUGUGAAAAAAAUGUUACAUAAAACAUAAUAGACUAUAGCUAUUGCCUAAAAUAUACAUAUGAGAUAUCAAAUGCAUUCAACACCAAAGCCUUAAAACAGCAAGCACCUCAAAUUCUAUAUGAAAGAAUACCAUGUGCCUCAAAAGGCAAAAAUUGAUUUUGGACAUUUUCAUACAAGAAUAUUUUGUACUAAUGUACAUAAACAACCCUAAUGAAGAAAAAUUAAUUUGUAAAGCAAAGAUGUGAAGACACUAAAAAUACCUCAAAUACGACCAAAAUGUGGUCCCAAUUGCUUGAACCAUUUCAACCUUAGUUGAAAAAAUGAAACAUGAAAACUGCACCAAUGCUUAUCAAGUACAAAAAAACAAAGAUAUUCCCUGUAAUUACCAUUAUGAGCACUGGCCAGUUGGCUUCAUAAAUCACGUGGAAAAUUACUGAUUUGUCCUUCUUCUAGUGUAUCCUUGCCAUUUAUCUUGUACGCUAUCCUUAUGCGCAUGACAAGAGAUUUCUGAAAAAAGUAUUAGUUUCUUAGCCAUAAAGUGUACUUAAAAAAAGGACGGUCAAAUGCAUGAUGCUCCCACUUAGUGGGGUAUAGGGAGAGAAGAUGCACAUACUUACUCCUGCAAGUGGUGAAGUUGUUUCCAAGAUUUGAACCCGUAACCUCAUAAUCACUAAGUAACAACCUCACCGUCACUCUCAAGGCACUUACAAACAUAAAUCAUAAAUGAGGCACAUGGUAGAAGACAAAUAUUUAGAGUAAAAGUUAACUAACAAAGAAAACCAACCUUCCCAUAUUGGCUAUUAGUAACUCUCAUACUUUGUGUGAUGGACCCAUUUCCACUAGUAGGGAGAGUGUUGCUGCUAGCUGGAUCUAACUGCAACUGAAGAAACUGAAUCAAAAUAACAAAAAAAGUAAGAAUUAGAUGAUGAAAAAAGGUAAUAAUGCAGUUAAAUUUUGUUGUUGAAAUUCCGAUAGCAACAUGCAAACAGUUAUACUUCUCAUGAACUCAAAAUGUAAAUGACCAAAAGUUGGGACAACUGAAUAGACAAAUAUAAUGAAAAUCAUUCAGUUUUAACAUUUGCUAACAAAUGCUGUUGCUAGAUCUCUUAAGAAAAGUAAUAGCCUAAAGUUAUGGUCUCUUAAUACAUUUCAAAAUUCAAACAAAGGAAUGAGAAGAUAUUUUUCAACAGCGAUUAAAAAGCAUGGAACCUCAACUUAACACAAUUUAAUCAAGAUCAAAAUACUACUGAAAUCAACAGAGUUAAAUUAUAUGUUAAAGACUCCAAUUAAGAUGAUCAUAGAAGUAAAAUAGAAAACUUAACAGCAUACUCACUAUCAUACCUUUGGAACUGCUGCCUGAAAAACAAAAUCUGUAUAUACAUUAGAGGACAAAUUCGUAAAGGUAGCCUGGAUAUUUGUCGUUUGUGAGUUUCCUGUCUGUUUUGAGAAAUCGAACAUCAACCUCAAGAAGCUGCUCUCGAAUGCAGUUAUAGAUGGAUAAACAGGUCCAUUGUUUUCUAUACAAGGCAGUAGAAGGAUGGGGAAUUAGUACUUAGAUUAAACUCCAAUGAAUUUUGUUUCCCAAUUGUUAAACAUAAUUUACAACCUGCUGGUGGACUGGUGGGAAGAGGAUCCAAUGAAUCCAUCAUAGGAGCAGCUCCACCAUUUGAAGUUCCUCUUGAAGAGAGUGAAAGCGAUGAGAGAUCAUCUAAUGGUGAAUCUGAAGGUUUUUUAGUUGUAUCGGGGGAUAAUACGUCUAUCAUAGAUGAGUUGUUUUGUACAGAAGGCGAUUGAGUAGGUGACGAAGGUGAUCCAAUGGACAAAAGAUCCAAAAGAGCAUCUGUGCCACUUUUUGAGGUUUGACUAGCACCUAAAAUGCAAAGUAAAUGUCAGAUGUAAUAUAAAUAUGUAAAUGGAAAUAUUCACCAUCAUGUGCUGUAUGUUGCUAUGGGAAUGCAAGGUCCAUUGUAUAUUCUAAUUUGCACUUCAUAAAUUACUUCUAACUUCAAUGCAACUAAACCAAUGAAACAAAGUACUCUUACAGAACAAUCCUAAAUUCUUUCUAUAACCGUUAAUAUCAUUUGCAUCAUAAAAACCGAUUUAGGCAUACAAUGAUUCAAAACAUAUAUACACCUUCAUGAAUAGAGCUAAUUACUUUUGCAUUUAUAGAAUAAAAAGGAUGACCCAAUGCACGAGUAAGAUCUAAAGAGAGUAGAUGUACGCGUUAUUUCCAGUUUUGUAUUUAUAGAAUAAGUAAACAUAUGGACAUUAUUAGAUAAAAAAUAACUUGUUAUUCAGCAUUAUGAUAUUUAUGUGAUACACCACAAACACUAACCAGACUGUUGUGAAGGCUUCGACAAAUCAACUCCGAGAAGGUCCUGAAUAAGAUCACCACCAGAAGAGCUUGGUGCAGGAGCUUCAUCUGAACUUAGAUCGAGCAGAUCUAGAAGAGGAGCCGAAGGUUUGGCUAUUCCAUUUGGAAGACCAACUGAAGGCCCUGAUUGAAUUGAAGCUGCAUCUGGAAGAGACCCAGCCCUCCUGCCAACGAAAGUUGCCUCAUUCAAAACUGGCAUCCUGUCUACAAGUGUCGACCUGCAUGAUGACAAACAUUUUCUCAUCGCCAUUCAUCUAAUCAGAAUGUUGUAGAAAUUCAAGCUAUUGAAAUAACAUAAUAGGCAAAUUGGUUAAGCUUACCUAAUACUUUGAUGCUUUGCAAUAAUCGAAUUGAAUUCUAUAGAUCUUUGCUGCAAUUCUAGUACAAGGUUCCCUUUGUACUGAGUUAUUGUUUCCCUGAUCCUCCUAUAUAAAAAAUCAAAAUAGAAUAAAAUUUUGUGACAAAUAUACAAAUACAAGAUGAUACAAGCUCAAUAAUAGGUAAAAAUGUAUUUGGUGCAUGAAAGGGACAAAGAGACAUAGAUAAAGAAAGAUCAAUGAUUUGUUAUUCAGAUUAAAUAGAGGAUUGUUCAUAUAUAAAAACAUUCAUGUUUCUUCAUCCAACAGCUUAAGCUUUUGGAAUAGUUGGUUCUCGACUUGGUACCAGAGCCCCUAUGACCAAGUAGUCAGGAGUUCGAUCAUUGCCAUCUCAGUUCUUCUAAACAAAUAAAAGAAGUUAAAUUCAGCAUAAGGUAUGGUAGAGCUGUGCAUAGUCUCUACUACAAGCCAAAAGGGUUAUUGCAUGAUUAUUGUGUGAGGGGGAGUGUUAAAACCAUUCAUUUGGUUUCACCCAACAACUUAAGCGUUUGGGAAAGUUGGUUCUUGACUAGGAUUAAGCAGGUUACAUGAGAUUUAAACUAUCCCCAGCCAGCUCUGUGGGGCUUAUACAAUAUAUUACAUUCCUCUAAAACCAAGGAAGGAAAGAAGAAAUAAAUCCAUUUUAAGGUAUGAUAAUGUCAUGGACAUAUACAAACAAUUCCAGAUCAUACUCUGAUAAAGAAGGGAAAUGUGAGGAUAGCUUCAAAAGGGCAACCAAAGCCAUUGCUUUUGUGGUAAGAUCCGAUGCAUGGCGUUUGAUAGCAAUCUCAACAACAUCCAAAGCAUCUAACUCAGUCACCUGCUCGGAUGAAAUAAAUAAAGAAUAAAAAACUAUUCAAAAACUAUAUGCAAAUGAUAAAGACUGAAAUGAAAGACGAGAUUGGUAUAUUCAUUUCAAUAGUGCAUGAGUAUAUGGGAAAGAACCAGGUAAUUCAUUUCAACAAUGCGCAAGCAGUGCCAUGACUUAGGGUUUUAUUUCUUUCUUGACAUCAUAACCCAUCAUCUAAAUAGAAGCUAUGAAAACAACAACCAAGCCUAAAUCACACUAGGUGGGAUUGGCAUAAUUGUUUAUAAAUAGAAGCUACCCAAAUCAAAAUAAAGAAUCCUCAACGGAAAUGGUACCACAAACAAUUUUUCUUAAUUGUUUUUGAUGAAAUUGUUAAAUUAUUGCUUGUGUUGUGGUCAACUGAUUUUACCAUUUUCAUGGAACUUUAGAAACAGUAGAAGAUUAUGCAUAAAAUAUCAAGAAACCAUUCACUCACUGUUAUCGGAUCUUCUAUGUCAAGGACUCCAACAUUAUUGAUUAACAGGUCACCAUAUUCUCCAAUGCACCACAAUGCAACACAAACAAGGGUUUCCUGAUGAAAAAUAUUCAUCAAUAAUAUUCAUCAAUGCUAUUAUGGAUAAAUUUUGUGAAAGCAGAAGAGGCACCUGUUCAGCUGACGUUCGAAAUGCCUUGUAUAAUGCUCUUACUGUAUAUCCAUGAAGCUCAGAAGCAUUGCUUAUCACAACGAUUAAGGCAUACCAUACUUCAUCUUUUACGAAAUUUCCAGCCUACUAACAUAACAUAAAUAUGAAUACUAGCACUUAAUUUAUAAUCAAUUAAAGGGCUCACUCAAUAUGCAGAUCAGCACCAAGACAGUAAUCACAAUACACCAAAUUUAUCCAGUGACCAGUGAUGAUUUGUUGCAGAUAAUAGAAGGAGCAUGGUUCUUGUCAAAGUCAAACAUAAAGUGAUAAAUAGACACAAAUAUGUAGUAACUUUGUACAUUGACACAUCGGAAAGGAAAUCAUGAAAUGAUAAUAAAUAGUUAUACACAUGUAGGAAAAACAAAAUAAGCUGUCAUAGCAAUCAUUUUUCCUCGGAUGUAAAUGUAGAGAUGAGAACAACUGAACCAGUAUGCAUCAGGAUUUGUGAUUUCCCUAGGAGAUUCUAAUUGGCAAAGAAAGCUUUUUUGGAAGAUAUAUACCUCAGACAGAACCUUAAGCAUCUGAUCAAUGUACCAGAUCUUCUCUGGGGAAAACCUGAAGCACAAAGUAAGUAAAUACUAAUCAACCAAACACAUUCUAUAGAUUCAAUUAAAAAUAAAUCAAUAAAAUAACUCUCUAAUUACUAGUCUAAACUAAGAAGGGAACAGGCAUAAGGCCCAUGUAAAAUGGGUAAAAUGGCUUCAAUUUUUUUUUUACCAAAGAAAAGAAAGAAGAUGAAGAACAGCAGCAAUAUCUAGCAUCUACAAUCUAAAAUUUACUGCAAACAUGAAAAACAGUUUAGGAAGUUUCUUAAAGAAAUAAUCAUUUAUGAUAAUAGUAUAUGUUCCUGUGACAAAUCAAACCAUCUUAUAUUAAUAAUAUUGAAUAGUGAAAAAAGAAAGAAAUGAAAAUAAAUUGCAUACCAAAAUUUUAUAUAAGCAGGCAAUUAUUGCUUACUACCCCCACCCCAGAAAACAAGAAAAACAAUACAAUUGAUAAAAAUAAGCCAUAUGCACUCAAAAAGGAAUGCCAUUGAGAACCUCUAUGACUCACUUUGAAACUAUUGAGCAAAUUUUGGCUGUAAGGUCCUCCUUAAAAUCUUGAUCACUGACUUGCAGAUAAUCUACUAGCUCUUUCGUUAAGGGCUUCACAUUAGUUUCAUUCACCAGAACAUAAACAAGUUCAAGGGCUCUUUUCCGAAUUGAAGCGUCAGGGUCCUGAACCAAAAAAGUCAAGUCACUAACUUCAAGUUAUAAUGUAAAACUAAACACAUCUUUGUCCUUACUCCUUUGCUAAAGAAUAGUAGGAUUAUUACUUAUUAUGUUAUUUGUCUUAAGUUAAUGGACUUGGGCUGGUACUAGUGGUGUUUGUACCACUCAGCUUUCUCCAGCAUUGCCGUUUAAGUCAGUUUAGGUGAGUUUUCAGUAUGUUUGGGGUCAUUUCCUUUGAGUCCAGUGCCAUUUUUGCACUCCUUCAAUUUUAUUGAGACCUGAAAGUGUUAUUUAGUGUUUUCUAGACUCUUUGGUUGCUGAUGUGCUGAGUGGGUCUUGGUUUCUGAUUUCGGAAGUUUUGAAGUAUAACAUUCUAAGAAUUGUUCAAGAUGGCAGAAUUCUAUGAUGUCUAGUUGCAGGAUUUAUUUCAUGCCCAUAGAUUCAGAAGUUGCAGAUCCUGUAUAUUGUAUUGCACUUCUAUGUUGGCAUGACGGCUGGCCAUGGCUAUGUCACUUAUAUUUUUAAAGAAGGUUAUGAAUACGUUUUGAAGCUUAAAUUGUUGUCCUACCUUGGUUCUAUUUUCUUCUUUGCGACUUUCUUGGUGCACCAUGAGUUCAGAGAAAGGGCUCCCCAAUUGGAUGCAAGCCGCCGUCAAUGUGGGGCCACUUUAGAUUCUCACUGGUGAUGGAAUUGCAACUUUGGAAGAAGGAAAUUUCCAAUUUGAGCAUUGCUUGGAUGAUUCAGCAGCAUCCUGUGGUUUAAGAUUCUCAGAACAACGAAGCUCAUCAUCGUUGACUGCAUUUGGGAGGCUGAUGGUCCCAAAUGUGGCUGCAACUGGACUUGAUAAGUUCAUGCAGAUGGUGUGUGAUAGCAUUUGGUUGGUGGAAACAGUGUAAUUGUUGAUUGUAGUUCUGUCUAAUUUGGUUGCUAGUCUGCCUAUGAUUGGUUCUGAUUCAGGCUUUGGAAUAAUUUUGUGUGGUUUAUGUCAUUUAGAGUUAUUUUUUGUCAAAGGAUUGUGGAUUGAAAGACUUUCGACACCACCACUGAAGGACCCCAUUGGCAAUAAUGUGUGAAAUGAUAUCAGAGAUCCAGUUGGAGGUCAUUUAGGGGCGAAGCUAGAGGGUUUUAUUAAGGCAGCCAAAGAAAAACAAUACUUUAUUAGUCUAACCUGGCUUAAAUAUAUUUUUAAUCCUUAUAAAGUAUAGUGAGUUUGACUUUGGUUCUCAUAAAAAAAAUGCUUUUAUAUCCUUUAAAAGUUUGAAAUACGUACUUAUCGUCCCCAAUGUUAAGUUUUGCAGUUAAGUGACAGUGUGAGUGACGGAAGACCACAACUGCCACAUACAUGACAUAUGAUAAUAGAGACUAAAAAUAAAAAAUCAAACUUUAUAAGGACUAAAAACAAAGAAUAGUUACAUUGAGGACCAAAGUUACUAAUUUCCAUAUUUGCAUGGAUGCAAAACCAUUUUUUACAAGGAAACAUAUUUAAGUACUAAUUCUGAUAUGUUAUCAGCCAAUUAUGCAUGACCAUAUAUGUGACUUUUAAUGUAGUUAUUUCAAGAGUCAAUCACUCUUAAUAACGCAACAAUGCAUGUUUGGUUGAUAGUGUAAAAGAUCUUUUUAUCAACAGUGGAUUACAAUUAAUCCGCACUUUAAUUAAGGGGCUCUCAGUUAAAGAAUUUAUAUUUUCCACAAAAAAGUUAACUGUAAAGUUGAUUUAAAAAAUUUCGGGUAGCCAUAGCCAGGAGUCUCCACUAAAUUCAUUGUUGGGUGUUAUGAAAACUGAGCGGCUGAAUCAAUGUUUUAGAGACCCAGUUGAAGCCUAUUGUAUAUAGAAAAUAAAUGUAUUGCUGGUUGGUCUCAUACUCAACUGAAUGUUUUGGAGACCCAAUUGGAGGUAAUUGCUGGGUGGUAUUGCUGCAUUGUACUCGACUCUGUUUUGAAGACUUUGCAAGUGGAGAAGGUCACUGAGGAGAAAUGUCUAAUACUCUAAAACUAUCUACUUGCUUGGGAUGCGUGCUGAUGAGUAGCAAGGAGUUGCAUGCCGAAAAUGUUGCCAAGGCUUUUGUCAUUCAGGGGGACAGGGGAGUACUAAUUUCCUUAUCUCUUAGUUGAGAUCAGCAGGAUUUAAAAUAUUGGUGGUGUUCUGUGUUUUCAGUUGAUGGGUUUGCUACUUGUAACAAGCUUAAGUAUAGAAAGCUUAAGCUCGAGGGGAGUGUUAGAUAAUUGAAUGGCCAUUAAUUAUUAGGUUAUCUCAUUCUUAGUGGUUUUGUGUGGUAGUAGUGGUGUUAGCACUUGACCUAAGUACCUAACUUUUGGUAUAAAUAGGGUAUUUGGAUUGUGUUUUCCAUGAAGUUAUCUUACGGAUCAUAUUUGUAAUCUUAAAAAGUUGCAGUCAAGAUCUAUCUUCACAUUCUUCCUUACCUUAUAUUCUUCAACAUUAUUGAAUAAGAGACAAGGACAAAGGCCACACAAUUAAUACCUUCACACAUUCUAGAAUUGUUGCACGAUGCCUCUGCACUGCCUGAGCGUCAAUAGUAACACCCCGCAUCAGCAUGUUUAAUGCCACAUAUCUGCAGGGAGAAGACGCGAUGAUUAAUUCACUUCAAUAAUGAAUAUAGCUUUUGCAAUGCAUAAGAUUACAAAUUUUAAUAUAAAAUUACAAAACAUAUAAAUAAUGAGAAUCAGGCCUGGAGAACAAAGGAGAAGGGGAUUGUUUCAUUAGACUUGAAAAAUACUAAAAGUAGAAGAAAGGACAAGGAUUUCACGUAUGUAUCCAUCACCAAGAGUUUAAAUUCCAAGUUGCUUUUAAAAUUCAAGUUGAAGAAUUCCAUGUUAUAAGUGAAACCUGGUAUAGAACAAUAAGCAUCACAUGAAAGUGGCUCACCUUUUUUGCAAAUAUUCCUAACCUAACAUGUAAGAUAUUAUCAAUGAUUAUCCAUGAUAAUCAUACCAUAUAGGCCAGAAGAGAAAUGGUACACGAGCAAAUUCCAGGUUAGCACACAAAGGUUUGACAGUUUUAGGUACCAUUACCUAACAACAGCCAUAGAUGCAACAUUUAUCACACUAUACAUAUAGAUUUUGUUAAGGUUCCAUCUCAAAACCAAUUGGCAAUGAGAGAAGUAGCUCAACAAGUAUUUAAACUACACCCAAGACAAUGAGGCAUGCAAUAUAAGACUUACUUCCCAACAGUGUUUUAUAUUGCGGUCACGGUUACUCCAAUUGCAGUCAUUAUGGUGUAAAUUAUUUUGUGGGUAAAAAAAUAUUUUUAAUAUCAAUGCGGUUUGAUGUGGCCAGAUGCAGCCGCAUCGUUGUGAUUCGGUGUCACAUUGCAAUUGCGGUUCCAGCGGUCACUACAACUGCAAAAUUGCGGCCACAUCAUGUGAUGCGGUUUGCAAUUUGAUUCACUGCUUCCCAACAUCCUUCUCCAUAGAAACAUGUCGAACCAGGCUAUGGGAUUACCUUUGAUCCAAGACAAAAAGCAUUUUUUGACCAAUGACAAUCGAAGAGAGGUUGGGUUCUGCCUCUGAUAUUAUGUCAAGGUUCUAUCUGAAAACCCAUCGGCAAUAAGAGGAGUAGUUCAACAGGUAUUUAAACCACUCUCAACACAAUAUGGUAGGAAAUGGAUCCUCUCCAGUACUGGAGAGUCCAGUGCUGGAUAGGAUGAUGACAUGUGGCCAAAAAAAUAAUUUAACGACUAUGAUUACAUGUUAUUUUCUAUUAAAAAUAAAUAAAAACUCUUUAAAAAAUUCUCAACCUCAUAUUCCAGUACUGGUUUCUCCAAUACUGGAGAGGAGUUGAACUCAAUAUGGUAUGCAAUGUAGGACUUACUUCCCACACAUUUCUAAAAAGACAGCCAGAUGUUUAAUAGCUUCUUACAAAUAUGAUUUUAACAAUAAGAACAAUACAAAAUUCAGAGCCACAAAGUACACUAAAUGGCUGUAUCGGCUAACUAAUCCACCUCCAGACCGGCUAUGUUGCAAUGAAGCAUAGGUCAUGGUUAUAUACAUCGAUUUCUAAUGAUUCUUUCUUAUUCUGUUUCCAUAUUUUAGCUUCUAGCAAAAACGUUUUUAGCAAACGAGGAAAGCAAACACAAUUUUAUUUUACACAAAUUGUGUUUGUGAAAAACGUUCUGAAGAAUCAUUUUUUCAAAGCCUAAACAAAUGGGUCUCAGUGCAUUUUUUCUCUCUCUGGAUUUUAGAAGUUUAUUUUAUGCAGUUUUCUCAGUUCUUUUAUCAAGGAAAACCGAUGUCCAGAAUAGUACCUGAUAUUGUUGUCACGGUUUGACAAGAACCUUCCUAGGAUAUUGAUAGCAAGCACACGUAAGCCACCAUUAUCUUCAAUUCUCAUUAUUGUUUGAACACACUCAUAUAAAAUGGCAUUCCCAGCAACUUUAUUAGACUCAGUCUUUGUAGCUACCUAAAAGAAAUAGCAACUUAAAAAAAUUUAACAACCAUACAUUUCAAAGAACAUGUUCUCUGAUCUGAUCAUAAGUAAUAGUAAAUACAAUUCAUCAACUCAUUUGGUGUAAAAUUUAUCUUCCCCUUGAUUGCACUUCCCCUUCUCUGAAAAACUUUCUUUGUCAAUAAGAAAAAAAAGCAACUUUUCUCAAAUUAAAGCUUUCAAUAUGCUUGUUCAGUUUCUUUUGGCAGACAUGGUUUGAUCAAAAUGUAUACAACAACCAAGCCUUUAUUCUCUCAAAUUAAAACAAUAUUCUCUCAAAUUAAAACUUUCAUGGGUGAACGACAUCAUAAUGCUCUAUCAUAAAUCAUGUUCAUUGACAAAUCAUUGAUCUCUAAGUCUUUCAUACUCAUUUCACCUAUGGUUUUUCUUGGUCUCCCUCUUACUCUAGCAAUUGGAUUAGCCUUCAUUUGAUCUACUCUCCUUAUGGGGCUUCUACCGGUCUCCUCCACACAUGUCCAAAUCACCUAAGGCACGAUUCUAACAUCUUUUCUACAAUAGGAGUUACUCCAAUCUUCUCCCUAAUGUAGUCAUUUCUAAUUCUAUCUUGUCUAGUAUGUCCACUCAUCCAACGCAAUAUUCUCAUCUCUGCUACAUGGAGUCUAUUGUCAUUUUGAUAUUUUAUAGCCCAACAUUCAAUCACAUAUAACAUUGCAAGUCUUAUACUGGUGUAGUAAAACUUCUCCAUAAACUUGAGUGAUACUUUUUUAUCACAAAUAAUACCUUAAUCACUUUGUCAUUUCAUCCAACCCGCUUGAAUUCUAUGGUUCAUAUCUCCGUCAAUUUUAUCAUCCUCUUGAAUGAUUAAUCCUAUGUAUCUAAAUCUAGUAACUUUUGAUAUGAUAUGAUCAUCAAUAUUUGAUCAAAAUGCAUACAAGUGGAAAAUAUGAUUUUCAACAAAACAUGACCACCACCAACAAUUCAGAAAAUGGCAAACAAUUUGAUCAUGGCAUUGGCAGCAUGAGAAUCAUAACAUCAUAAUACCAUGAAAUGGACAAUGUGCACACAACUGACCUGGGCAAGUAUGUCAUUCAUAGAGUCACUAGCAUCAACAUCACCUUCACCCAAUACUCGCAACAGUCUCAGUAAUCUGAUCUGGAGAAAAGGGUCUGUGAUGCCAGAAAUAUCAUAGUCUGGUGAAUAAGGACUGUUUGCUAGAUCCUUAAGAGCUCUGACCAUACUCUCUGUGCAUUUCUACAAUAAAUGUUCAAAUAAAUUUUUGCGACAAAAAUCUGAGUACAUUCUAUUCUCAUUUUGCAAACAAGUUUUUUGCAUAAAAACACGCUGAGGUGAAACAUAGCAUCACCAAAUUGCAUACACACCCUUAUUUAGAUUCCUGUAAAUAAUUACAUUUUAUUUACAUGAAGCUGGCUUGCUUGCGAAGACUAUAGUGUGGUGCCAUGCUUGUAGAAAGUAUAUGCUAGUCAUAUGAAAGUGUGUCUACAAACCCCAUUAUACCAGCUCAAACACAGAAAAAUUAGACUAAAUCGAAUUCAAGUUUUCAAGACAAGCUAGACUUUGAUAUUGAAAUUCUGGAUGCUUCUCUCAUUGCUAAUGAGAUGGUGGUUGCCAUUAAAACCCAGAGGGAACAAGGUCUUCCCUAAGUUAGACUUUUAGAAAGCUUACAGUCGUGUUCUCAGGUUUUUGUGGAAAAGGGUCUUGGAAAGGGAAGGGUAUAUGUCUAGCUGAAGAAAAUGGAUUUGAGGGUAUUUAUCCUCUUCUAGUUUUGCAGUGAUUAUGAAUUGAAAAUCUAAAUCUAGGUUGAGGGUCAACAUGGGUGAGCAAGAUGGAACCUUAACAAAAUGUAUUGUGUCAUUAUUCGGGACUUUUUAACUCGGUAACCCCAACAAGACUGCAUUCAUUUGUAAGUGAGUUUAGAUACUACAACACAUAAUGAUUUUGUCAUACUGUGUAUAGUAGAUAAAACUAUUUCAGUUUCAGUUAAUACAACAAGUAAUUCUGAAGAGAAUAUACUUGGUUAGAGAUGACAGUUAUAAGAAAGAUGUAAAAGCACCUUUUUAAUAUGUUCCAGAGCUUCUGUAUUAAUUUUACACAGAGCUGUACAAAGCUGAACCCCAGUGAUCAAAACUCCGUGAUGCUUCUCCUUAAGUAAGGCAGUAGCAGGAUUGACAAAAUUUUCUGCCAAGUCUGGAACUUUAUUUAUGAUUCUGAUAGAGCAUAGUGCUGCCUAUGUAACCACCAUGAAGAUAGUCAUUUUACCAGAAUAACCAAUAAUAACUCAAACAAUUAACAGGAAAGGUUUUCGCAAUAACUCAACAUAAAUUACAUGUUUACAAUUUUUAGCAAAUGGCAGACUAUUAGAAUUUAAGAGUGGUCUCUGUCCAAGUCAUAGGAGAGUGAACUUAAUCUUGUUUAUCAAUGGGUUAAGUGAACAAUUAUAUAAGUGAGUUUGACAUUGACUCAAAACCUUAAGGCAAUGGUCUAUGGUCUUUCCAAUAAUAAGUCUUAAUUCUAUUCAAUGGAGACUUUUAUUCCCAAUAAAGAGAAAAGCAGACUUCAACUCAAAGUAAUGAAAAGGGGAGAAACAUAAUACAAAAACCAAGUCUUAGUUUUACUAAGUGGGGUUGGAUACAUGAAUUGAUGACAUCAUAGUAUUCUAUCACAAAUCAUGUUUAUUGACAAAGCAUUGAUCUCUAAAUCUUUCCUAAUUGUUUUGUUAUGGGUUGAUCUACUAUAUUUACGGGGGCUUCCAAGUAUCUACUCAAUACAUGUCUAAACCACCUAAGAUGCGAUUCUACUAUAUUUUCUUAAAUAGGAGCUACCUCAAUUGUCUUCCUAGUGUUCGUUUUUAAUCCUAUCUUGUCUAGUUUGUCCGCUAUUCCAAUGCAACAUUCUUAUAUCUACUAUAUUUAGUUUAUUCUCUUAUUGACAUUUUGCCCCAACAUCCGGUCCUAUAUAAUAUUUAAGAGAGGAUCCACUAACUCCAGGAGUAAUUUAAAAAAACCUACUCCACAUCUUAGCCAUCUAUUCUAUGAAAAACUAAUGGUUCAAAUGUACUAACUAAUUCAAAUCACGUGAACCAUUAGAUUUUCAUAGAAUUGAUGAAUAAGAUGUGGAGUAGGUUUUUUAACUUACUUUUUGAGUAAAUGAAUCCCCUCCCUUUAUAUUUUGGGUCUCAUAAUUGUGCGAUAAAAUUAGGAGAGAAACAGUAUUAAUAAAUAAAGUCCUACUGCACAUCAAUGAAAAAAGAUUAUAAGACCUACCUUUCGUGUUCAAUGACAAAACUCUCAAACUAUGUUUGGUAUCAUAAGAUCUUUAAUGAUAAUAAAACAUCAGAGCCCUCACUAUGUACGGUCAGCUAUAUAGAUCAAUCAAUGCUAUUGGGUUGGCUUUAUCAGAAACCAAAGUUUCCGUAAAUCUACCAAGAGCUAAAGCAAUGUCUUUUACAGCAGUUUCCCUUAAUUGUCUUAUCUUAGUUUUUUAGAUUUUUCUCUACCCCACUAAUUUGGACUACUUUCCAUUUGAUCAAUUUCUCUCAAUGGAGCCUCUAUUGACCUUCUUCACACAAGACUAAACCAUCUAAAGAGGGUUUCUAUUAUCUUCUAACCAAUAGGUGCCACUCCUCAUAUUACUUCUAUAAUGCCAAAAAAUCUGUGUAUUACAGGGCACCAUAAGGUAAGCAUUAAUGAUGUUAAAGAAUGAAAGCAGACUCCCUCGUUGGGUACCACAACAUAAAUCUUCAUAGUUGAUAGGAUAACACACAUGACUCAAUUAAUGAAAACAUCACCUUCUUCCGAAUAUUUGGAUCUCGAAAUUGCAGCAAUCUCUCAACCUCUGGUGCAAGAUCACGAGCCAUUUCUGCUGAACAAAUGUUUCCUAAAGCACAAAGAGCAAGUCCUACUAUAUACUGGUUUGUGUGAUUAAGAUCUCUAUAACUCAGUUAAGGUUGCAAUAUCCCAUCAUUAAUAUUGUUCCUUCACAUAUUCAUAAAAUGAAAUCUAAAAAUUGAGGAAUACAAAAAACAAAUGAAAACAUUGACUUGAAACUGGAUACUGUUUCAAAGAAUUGGUGACCAACAUUAGAACUUCUUGUCUUUCAUCAACAAGCAACAUAAGGCCAAGGUAACCAAUUCUCUUCUCUGGAAAUCCAGGAGUCGCUAUCAACUUGAGGCAUUCCAUUUGACCAAAAUGUGUCGGGUAGCCAAGCAUGUGGAUGAACAUUAGCUUAGCCAGAUUCCGAUGGCUAUAGUCUUGAUCAUUCUCAUUGAUUGAAGCACGAAUGGCAGCACAUUCUUUUCUUACCACGGCACGUUCUUCUGCGGCAGUUUUAGAAGCACGUAUAGCACGGAUCAUGUCCCUACAAAGGGGGAUAUGAACUACACAGUUAAAAGAUACUUAUAAUAAUUAAACUAGAAUAUAGAAAUAGGAUAACACACAUGACUCAAUUAACAUCUUUGCGAGAAAAACUAGCAAUAUGUUAACUAUAUGAGAAAGGAAUAAAAAUCCACUAACAAAUACAUAAUUCUCUAAUUCAACCAGCAUAAUGAAUUCACCAUACCAUGUACCAUAUACCAAAUUCGUCAUAAAGAAUGUCUCGUAAAUAAAAGAGAAAACCGCAAACUGAUAAAUCAUUUUCAAGUAAAUUUCCCACAAUGGCAAUAAACACAUUUUCAAGUAACAAUGCAUGUAUCAAUGGCAACACCAUUUGAGUAAGAUCGAAACCACACGAUCUGAUAUGAAAUUCAAACAGUAACAUAGGAUCUGAAAUUAGCAAUAUGAUAAUAAUAUAAUCCUAUACUAAUUGGGAAUAUAUUAAGAAAAAAUGAGGUUAUUAUGAAUGUGGAAUGAGAGAACAUGAAUUUCAUUUUUUACCUGAGACGAGUGGGUGAAGAGAAUGGAUUCAUUGAAAGAAUGAGAUCGAAAUUGGUAACAACACAGAUUUGGAUCUGAAAAAUUUACUGUAUCAAUAUUUCAAAUUAAUGAACAAAGCUACAUUUAUGAAUUUAUGGUGUAAUAAAAAACAGCAUUCUUCUCCAUCACUUUUCUUUACACUACAAGUUACAUUAUUACUUUUCAUUUAUUAAUACUCAAUAAUCAAAAAUGGUUCCAAAAAUAUAUAUAUAUACCGACCGAUAGUAUACGAGUUUUUUAUAUUGUCACUAUUUCUGCACCAUUUGUAUCAAAUCAUUAACUCUUGAAUAAAAAGUAACAUAAAUUAAUUGUGAAUAAUUUCUUAAAUUGAUAAUGCACUUAAACUCUAUCAUUCAUAUCAUUUUUUGUUAGCACAAACAAAACUAUUUGAAAAGAUUAGCAUAAGAUUUUAAAUGAAAUUAGUAGGUUAUUAUCUUAUUAAAUACGGCUUAUUGUCAAAUCCAAUGAAUAAGUUUAUUUUUUUUUUUCAAUUGACUAGCUUAUAAGUUAUCUUAUAACCUCAUCAAGGUUGAGGAAUGACAACGAGGCGGAUCAAAAUUGCUUUAUGCUUACUCAAUCCUAAACCUGAAAUCCAAAACACGAAGUCGAACCCAAACCAGAACUCGGUGGAGUUGAAAUUAACAAUAUCAUCCCGAACCCAACAAGGAACCCGAAAAAAAUAAUUCAAUGGUUUUUGCACUCACAAUUGAAUAAUAUUGUUGGAUAACAAGGGCUCUAACACACUUAGAGGGUGUCAAUAUGUGUAGUGGUGUACGAUUCAAACUUUUCGGGUUUGAAAGAUAUUUAUUGAUUUUCCCUGAUUUAAUCGAUUAAUGGCUUAUUUAAUCAAUUAACAAAAUUCUCCAAUUAAACGAUUAUCUCCUAGCUUAAUUGAUUAACUCGGUGAAUUUCUUGAAUAAUCUUUAGUUCUUUAUACAAAGAUAUAUGCAAAGAUUAAUAUGUUUUUUCAUGCAUUUUAACAAUUCAAUUUAUGUGAUUUAAUCAUGCACAUACAAUUAUACAACAAUUAUAAUAUGAGUUGAAUUCAAGAUAAUCGAAAUUGAUAAUUGCUUAAACGUAAAUGAGUAGGGAUAAGAGAAAUUGAGACGCUCAAUUUUAUCUUAGUUCGAUUGUCAGCCACUGCAAUCUACAUCCAAUCCUCCUCUUUUAAUAUAAGAGAUUUGCUUUCACUAUGAAGAAUUUGAAUGUUCUUACAAACAAUCUUCCAUCUAGAACUUCUUGGACCUAACUUCUAAUGGAUAGUCUCACCACUACUAGCUUGGGAUUUCUCCAAAUUCUUCUCUUCUUCUAUGGUGAUACCUCACACCUUAAGAGAUGAAUUACAUCUCGAAUCGUUUUCUUGUGUACAAUGAGUUUGCAUAUUUUCUUGUGCUAGUAUACACACAUUCAGAAUAUCUAAACCUUCUUGAAAUAUUUUACAAUCUCAAAAUAUGAUGAUGUAUGAUUGCGGGAUGCAAAGCUUCUUCGCAAACUUUUGAUAUGAUGAUAAAUUCUUGAACAUGUCUCUUCAAAGAUUCAUGAAAAUUCUCUUAUCUUGUGUCAAAGUAUCUAACUGUCUUUUUUCCCAGAAAAAACUCUUGUUUGAUCAUGAAAAUCGUUGCAAACACUCAUGGAAAUUGUUAGUUAUUUAACCAUUUGUUUCAAUCAAUUUUCUGUUAUAUUAAUUCAUUACAUUGAUACUUAAUCGAUUAAUGUUCUAUAAAAAUCGAAUUUUUCAAAACUAAAACUAACUUAAUCGAUUAACCAUGAACUUAAUCAAUUAACGAGUUUCCCAUCUUGCAAGGACUUCAUCGAUUAACUAUGAACUUAAUCGAUUAAUUGUUUUUGAAAAACAGUUAGUUAAUAUGCUAUGGACCUCUAACAUGAUUUACUAAUGUAUGACGCAUGAUUUUGAAAUGCCAUAAAUUUAACAUUGUUUAAUCCAUCAAAAUCAUGAUGUCGUGUAUGAAUGUUAAUGCAUCUAAACUCAUGUAUGAAUGUUUAUCUCAUAUGCGUCAUAAUCAUCAUUCUAAUUUGUGAUAUUUUCAUUUGGUUCAUCUUACCUAGACUCUAUCAUUCAAAAUAUCUUAGGACCUAAGGAAAUGAAAAUUACUCUUAAGUUUUUGUUGAUCCUCUUGACGCUUGAGCUUGAGCCUUCAAUGUUGUUGUUGAUUUAGCUUGUCCAUAUCCUCAUGUUUUUUCUUCAUCAAAAUUAUGCAAUGCACACUUGCAUUCAUAAUCUUCCUUUUUUUUAUCAUGACAAACCAAUGUUGCAUCUUGCUUUGAUGACAAUAAACUAAUUUUGAGAUUUGCUUGAGCUUUAAGAUUUGCCCCCUCACUUUGUGCAUUUGAUUUAUUUACAUUGAGGAAGCUUGAUAAAUGUAUCAAAUUUACAAAACAUAAACAACAAUCUUUCUUCCCCUUUUGGCAUAAUCAAAAACCAAUGUAAACAUAUUAGCCAAAAGUGAAGAAAUAAUGCAAUUUUGUCUGGUCUUAAUCAAUUAUACAUGGUCUUAAUCGAUUAAGCAUUUUCUGAUUUCACUUGAAAUUGCAAUAUUAUUGGUCUUAAUCGAUUGAGCCUGUGAUUAAUCGAUUAAGUGUUCAAUAUUUCUUGAUUUUCGCUUGGAAUUACAUAUAAUAUCCACAAAUGUUUCAGCAAGGAUAUCAAUGUCUUGAUGAACAAUUAGAAUCAUGAUUAUAAAAAUAUGAUCAACGCAAAGUUUCAAUUCAUUUCAUACAUUGAUCAAAAUAGUCAAAAAAAUAAAAACAAUAGCACAUUGAAACCAAAGGAAAAAGUACAAUGAAUCAUAAGAUACAUAAACUUCAAUGAUCGAAAUAACACACAACCUAUGACAUAACUAACUAGGAUUAUUUAUUAUCGCCCUAAGCUAGACUAGCCACUAUGAGGUAGUUGUGGAAAUCCGCCAAAGUUGAGAACAUAAAGUUGAGGUGAUCAAAAUGAGCCUUGGUUGCUAGUUCUUAUCGAUGAAACUCUAUCAUAAGCCUUUCUUCCAUAGCGUGUAUAUGAUUAUAAAUGUGCUCAUUUAGGCAUUGUUUCAUAUCAUCUAAGUGUGCCAAACCAAAUGAUGGUUCUUGAGGCAUAUUGGGAGCCUCACCAGGUUGUGGUUCUUGGUUUUGCUCAGCUCGAUUGGCAUCAUCUUCUUCACCUGAUUCAAAAUUAAGAGAUGUUUGAUAUACUUCUUGAUACAAUGACAGACUGUUGUAUACAUAAAUGCUCAUAUUGUAGAUUAGACUAUCAUCAAUGAGAUGCUCUAUGGGAGUCACAACUAUUAUCUCCUUAUUGCAUGUGUUAACCCCAUAAUGCUCUAUGACACAUGAGAUUAAGAUCCCAUAAGCAAGUAGUCUUGUGGAAGAUGAAUCGACGUCCGAUAUCGCUUUCAGAAUUUCAACAGUUCAGUUGAUCAUUAUGCUUUCCUUGACAACAUACGUAAGCUUUAGAUCAUUGUAGGUUGGUUGAGCAAGGUUUGUGUUGCAAUGAACCAAGAUAUAGGCAAUAAGAUAGUGUAAAAGCCUUUUUUCAAUUGUCAUUGACCAAACCUUUGUAAGCUCACCUUGGACAUAGUAAUGAGGUCCUCUUUGUGAAUGCAAGUGUGCAUGAAAUGAUUUUGAUGAAGACAAAACUUAAUGUUUAUAAAGACAAAGUUCAAACAAGGACAAAUCAACUACAACAACAUGAAGACUCAAGUUCAAACUUCAAGAGGAUCAACAAACACUAAAGAGUAAUUUUUCAUUUCAUUAGGUCCUAAGAUGCUUUAAAUGUGUAGAGUCUAAGUUGGGCAAACCUAAUGAUAAAUCUCACAUAUUAGAAUGAUGAAUAUGAUUAUUUUUAUAAACGAGUUAUAUUAAUUCUUAAUGUAAUUAUAUGAGUACCCUAGCCUUAAAAAAUGUAUACCAUAUAAGAGAACUUGUAAAAUAAUACCAUAUCACAAACUCUAAAAAAAUUAAUGAACUUUUCAUUUUUAAUAAUAUCAAAAUUAACAAUUUUUAAAUAAGCAACUACAUAUUCAUUCAAAAUUUCAAACAUUUACCUUAAUUAUGUAUUUUUUUAUACUCUAAAAUUAAAUAGACCUAUAGUCAAGGAGAUGUAUAUGCGUCUGGUAUACUUUUUCUUAAUAACUAGAAGUAUACAUGUGCGAUUCGCAUAGCUCGAUUUGUUUGACACUGAAAAAUGUAUUUAAUAUUUAUAUUUAAAUAAAAAAUUCAAGUUUUAAGUUAAAUAAAGUCAUGUAAUAAUUUAAAAAUAGAAUAUAAAUAUUAUAUUUGUAUGAGUUGAAAUAAAAAAUAGACAUGUAAGUCAAAAUGAUUACAAUAAAUCAAACUUUAGUUCAUAAUAUGUUCAAAAUAUUUGUUUUUAUUUUUACUACUAUAUAUUUAUUUUGUAAUUUUACUUAUUUUUAUUUUCUAGUUAGUAACUAUUUUUAAUUAAAUUUUUGUUUUAAUAAAUUAAAAUUUUGUAUCUUAUUUUUAGAUCAUUAUUUUUAUUUUAAAACAUUUGUUUUCUUAUUUAUAUUUGAAAAUUAUAUGUAAACAUGGAAUGUUUGGUAAUUUUUCUAACUUUGAAUCUCUUACACGUUACAUAAUUAUGAAAUAGUUAUAAUCAUUAGUUUUUUAAUUCAAAUAUAAUUAUUUCAAUAUUUUAAAAUUUGAAUAACAUAAAAAUAAAUUAGUAACGUUUAUCCGACGUAAAUUCAACUUUUAUUAUUGCAAAUGUCAUAACUAUGUAAUCUCUAAUCAAACAUCAAAUUCAUCUACCAUUAUUGAAUUACCAUGAAUUAUUGAUAUGUGUGUAUAAGUCUAUUAAUUACUCAUGUAAUAUAUCCUUACAUUUGAAUUAAUAUACAUUAUUUUGAUAUGUGUAAUUACGUUGAAAUUGAAUUUAUUGAAAUUGCAUCAUCCCACCGUUACAUAGAUUAAGAAACAUGUGUAUUACUGAAAUUGAAUUUAUCAUAAAUUAUUGUCCCACCAUUAUUAAAAUUGUAUUUUAUUUUAAUGAAUUAAGAAACUCGUGUAUUACUUCAUUAUGCAACAUUAAAACCUUAAACAUAAUUCUAUAUUCUCAUUUUCAGAUGCUUCUCUCUUGUAACUGAAAGUGCAAAGUGUCAAGAGUUGAUGCAGGGGGAAUUUGAGAUGUCGAUGAUGGGUGAACUGACCUUCUUCCUUGGGCUUCAAAUUAAACAAAUGGAAAGUGGCAUCUUCAUUCAUCAAUCGAAGUAUUGCAAAGAAUUAUUAAAAAAAUUCGAAGAGAACUAGGAAUUUUUGAUGAAAAAUAUAUUGAUUAAUAAUGUGUAAUUGCCUUGCAUGACCUUUUUUCCUUGUAUGCUCCAUUAUAAAAUCUUGUUGAAUGCUCAUAAUUCCUUGUAUAAUCCAUGAUUAUGUGUAUAAAAGUCUUUAAAUAUAUGUGAUUGAUUAAAAUGCAUUUAACAAUAAGUCUUGAAAUCCCUACAUGCUUUUAAAAACAUCCAGAAUGCUGUAUCUGAUGCACUUAAUCGAUUAAGUCAACUAGUUAAUCAAUUACCUGGGCAAACAUUUUAAAACUUGUCAUUUUUAACUCAGGUUAAUCGAUUAAGGGAAGCUGUUAAUCGAUUAACGACAUCAAUAUAUUAGAAAUAAAAGCAUUUCUGGGCAUUUUUCAAAACCCCAUUGAUCCCCUUUCUCUCAUACCUCAGAGGAACAAGUCCAACAUCAUCCCUAAGCUUUAACCUAUCCUAAACCGAAUCACCCCACUCCAUUUCCACUCCAUAAACCGGCUUCUUCAUCCCUUAUUUCCAAGAAAUUUGUUUUCCCCAAAUUGAAAACCCUACCCUAGGUUUCCCCCAAUUCUUCCUCUAAACCUUCAUCACGGUUCAGUUUCAAUUGCAAUGGAGAGAGGACGUGCUAAGAGAAUCAAGACAAUCGCGCAACGUCCGCCGCGUGCCCCAAAAGCUGUGCCAUCUUAACAAUCAAGGAAGGACUGCGGGGACCCAUACUAUUCAUUGAUUCUGCAAGAAACCCGAUUGCUAAAAUUUCAGGGGAGAAAACCCACAUACAUUCGGUUUGCGAAUUGGACUUGGCUAACGGAACAAAACUUCGAUUUCCGCAUGGUUUGCAAGCUGAAGGGGUUGUCCCCUUCUUGGAAUUAAAAGGUAACAUUUACCCUGCUCUAGUUAGGGAGUACUAUGCUAAUUUUAGAUACAAAGAUGGAAAGUAUUGGUCAAUGAUUGCUGGAAAACUGUUUGAGAUUAAUGAAGAAAUUUUUAUGAACGUGGGUGGUUUAGCUUGUACUAGUGCUAGUUUAAGUGAUUGUGGUUGGGCAGACAACAAAUCGUUUGAUGCUGUUGAAAUGUAUAAGUCUUGUUUGCGUAGACCUCAAUUAUAUGUUCAGGGCGAAUUGACCAAAGCUGGGUCACUAUCCAUGGAGAAUAGGCUCCUACAUUACUUGAUUGCCUACAUAUUGAUUCAGAGGAACAUAAAUCAUGCACAACCUACGAUGAAUGAUUUGAGGUUCAUGUUUGCUGUGAAGGAGAACAUCAUGAUAAAUUUGCCUGACGAGAUUCUGAAGGUCAUGUAUAGCGUCUCCACUUCUCAAUCAAGGUUGCUUCCUUAUAGUAUCUUCAUUUCACGAAUUAUUCAUUAUCUACAUAUUGAUGCAUAUUGAUGUUUCAGAUACUAUAGUGCUAGACUGUUCAGACAAGGAUCACUUGAUUGGUGAAAGUCUGAUUCAUAAAAUGUGUAUUUACAAGUAUGGCAACACAUGGAAAUAUCAAGAGGACUUCAACACUGUGAAUCUUGACCCCUUCGAUGAAGAUGAUCAAGAUGAUAACCAAGAGCCAUUUGCUGCAAUUCAGGGGGAGUAUUCAGGACAUGCAUCACAGGAACCUGCUUUUGGUCAAGCUUACAUGGAUGCUAUAGAACAACGUCUCAACAAUAGGAUGGAUCUCCACUUUCAGUCUCUUAAGGACUCAUAUCAUACGGAUCUGGAAAAUUUUGAGGAGCGUCAGAAUGCUUAUAUUGACAACCAUUAUCAAUCAUUAAGGAACUAUGUUCAGAUCACUUCUGACUCACAAACUAGAAGAUUGUGUGCUGAGUUCAACAAGCUGAGGCCUUCAUUAAAGGUGGUGGUAGCUCGUUGACUCCUGAAAACCAGAAUCCUCCAUCUCAUCCUUAGUUAGGAGCCCUUAGAGUUUUAGUUUAUCCUUCCUUGCUAAUGGACUUUGUUGUUCCUUGUUCCCUCUUGAGAACUUAUCUUUUAUGUUGCAUUGUUGCUCUUAUUUUUCGGAUUUUAAUAACUCUAUAACUUCUGCUGAAUUACUACUUUAAACAUUGCAUUACAAUGAUUUCACAUUAUAUUGUCCAUUCUUGAGUACUAAUUAUGUUGCAAAUAAUAUUCUUCUUAGUUUUAAAUGGAUCUUGAUCAUGGUUGGUAUAUGUGAUUAUAUUGAAUGAUUAUGCCUACUGCUAACUGCUCAAACAUGUCAAAUGCUUAAUCGUUCCAUGCUUAAUUUGAAUUAUCAUAGCCUUUCAUGCCAUUAAAACUAUGACAUUGCUGUUUGCUGUCCAUUUAAUCGAUUAAGACCUUUAGUUAAUCGAUUAAAUGAUGUUAAAAUUGUGCAUUUGUUCAAGCUUCUCACAGCUGGUUGAUUGAUUACUUGCCCAAAAUUAAUUGAUUAAUUACAACUUGUUAUAACUAUCAUAACUCUCCUGACUUUUGACUAGAAUUGAAUACUUGUAUUUUUUUAAUAAUUUCAAAAGGGGGAGAAAAGUUGCUUGUUGUGUAAUAUAUAUUUUGCAGGUUGUGUAAUAGUUUUUUGCAGGUUGUUUUACAUAGCUUCCGUAUAAUGAUUGCUUACCUAAGGGGGAGCAAAUGCGCUUCAACUUUGUAUAUUUGAAAAACAACCAUUAACAACCAUUGUGCAAAUUCAUCAUCAAGCUAAUCCAUCAAACAUUUGAAGAAUCUUGAUGUGGUGUUUGUCAUCAUCAAAAAGGGGGAGAUUGAAAGUACAAAGUGUCAAGGAUAGCACUAGCAAUUCUUUGCCCAUGUUUUGAUGAAGACAAGGUUCUAUUAAAGCUUGAAGAUGGCUCAACAAUCAACAUGCCUUAUGCUCAUUUGGUCAUAUCUAGACUAGGAUAAUAAUUAGAGUCACUAUUCUAAGUAGUCUGGGAUGUAUGCCGUAGUAAGUGUGUAUAGGUUAGGUGAACCUAGAUGCUAGUCUCUCAAGCCAUCUUAAUUGAUAUAUCAUAUCCAUGAGACAUAUCAUCUAGUUAAUUGUAUGUUCAUGCAUCUAUCAUACAUGUUAUAUGUGCAUAUUAGGCAUAAUAUAAUUGGUAGAACAUGUNNNNNNNNNNNNNNNNNNNNNNNNNNNNNNNNNNNNNNNNNNNNNNNNNNNNNNNNNNNNNNNNNNNNNNNNNNNNNNNNNNNNNNNNNNNNNNNNNNNNCAGUAUAAAAAUCCUUGUGUACUCUCUUCUCCUUAUCUCUUUCAUUUUAUUUCCUAUUAUUUUUCUGGAUAUUGUUCCGCUGCACUUUAACUUUGAUUUUGCAGAAAAAGCGGCCAUUAUUUUAAGACAACUAAUUCACCCCCCUCUUAGUUGCACUCUGAUACUUACACAUACAUGUUAUAUGUGCAUAUUAGGUAUAAUAUAAUUGCUAGAACAUAUAUAUAUGUUGUGCAUAACAUACGAGAAGUUUACCUUUUGAAACAUGUACUUUAAUGUGCCAGUUAAUCGAUUAACGUGGUGACUUAAUCGAUUAAUUCAACUGCUUUUCUGUUAAAUCAGUGCUUUAUGUUACAACUGUUUUCUGUGUCAUUCUGUUGCAUGGUUAAUCGAUUAACGGGUAGCCUUAAUCGAUUAACAUGUUUGUUAUUUGUUAUAACUGAUUUCUGUUUUAACCAUUUAACUGUUUGUAACGAAUCUAACUGCCUAAACUACUUGCUAUAAAUAAGAGGCAACGUUCAGAAAACCAUAACAUUGCAUUCUAUUGUAUAGGAUUGAUUUUAGAGAGCAUUAUACAUUUUGUUUACUGUUUUUGCAAGAAAGUUGCAUGUGUGAGAAGAGAGUUUUUAUGCUGAAUUAGUUUCUGAAUUCUUGCAUACUGGUUUUACAUAUUUCAUAUGCUCAUUCUUAUCUUGCUCACAUGUUCAUGCAUUAUAUAGAUUGAUAGAGAGAUUAUUUGAUUUCUAUUUGAUUAACUCACAUGAUUAUUGAUGGCUUGAGUGAUUAGUGAGUGGGUUAGUCUUUAGAUCUUUUCUUGUUAUAUUCCAAGUAUUAUUGUGCUUAGUAUAUCUUACUGUUUAAUAUGUUUUUGUGUAUUUCUGGAUUAAUCUCUUGGUGUCAUAUCACCAAAGACAUUGAGGUUAUUCACCAAGGCUAAGAGGUCUUGACUUGAGGACAAGAAUCUUGGCUAAGGCUGUUUCGUGAGAAUGGUUUUCUCAGGCGAAGGGUAGAGUCAAACCAAGGAUUUAGGGGUCCCAUAUUUCAAGAAAGAAGCGUCGUAUGUGUUUGUAAUUAAAUUGGUGUGUGUAUUCAUACUUUAACUCAAUAUUGGGAAGAAGAAAAUCUCUCUAGAUUAGAAGGGGAGGCCUGGAUGUACUUUGCAGUGGACCGCAAAUGAACCGGGAUAAAAAUCCAAUUGUGUACUCUUUUUCUCUCCUAAUCUUCUUUUAGUUUCUUGAUGUUAUAAAUUGAAAUUGUAGCUAAUACUUUGGAUAUUUGUUUAUUGUCAUAUGCUCAUUGUUUAUGCUUAAAAAUAUCUGUAUUAUCUCUGUUCAAUUAUUUUUAAAUAACUAUGCAAUCUGUCUUUCUGGUCAUUCUGUUCUGUGCAUGCGUUAAUCGAUUAAGACUAGGUGUUAAUCGAUUAACUAUGGUGUUUCCAGAAAUUGGGUUUUAGUUUAAAAAGCAAUGAUUGAUAACCGCUACACCUAUUCAACCUCUCCUUCUAGGUGUUCCUAGGCCACUAAUACCUAACAAUAACCUUAAAAUAAUGUAAAUAUAUAAUGAUAUUAAUAAUAUAAAUAAAUUUUAUAACGCCAAUAAAUCUUGUGUUAAUAAUUACUACAUAAGUCAUAUAUAGAAUGAUAUAUAAUUAUGUAAUAGAGAGAAAAAAAUAUAUUGAUAAUGCAAAAAAACUGAACUCAUAAACUAAACUGCAUAUAAGAGAAGUAAUGUCUUAAGCUAUUCUCUAUUUAUAUUUGAUUUUUAGUAUUAUAUUUAUUUUAUAAUCAUUUUAUUUUUAUUUUCUAGUUAGUAACUAUUUUUAAUUAAAUUUUGUUUGAAUAACUAACAUUUUUUAUCUUUAUUUUAUAUCAUUAGUUUUCUAAUAUUGAAUUCCUUUUCUGAUUCAUAAUUAUGAAAUAGAUAUGAUUAAGUUUUAGUUUUAAUAGUUAUUUUAUUUUUAAAUCAUCAUUUUGAAAUUCGUUUUGAAAUUUGAAUAGCUUUGAUGGUUAGAAUAUAUUAGUAAGAUUUCUCCCAUGUAAAUUUAAUAUUCAUAAUUGCAUAUAUGUAAUUGUGGAAUGUACAACGAAAUAUUAAAUAUGUAAUAUAUUGGAAACACAAUUAUCUCAAUUCAAUUCUUAUUAUAGAGUUAAAACUAAUUGUUAAUGGAAGGUUCUAGGCGUCAACAAUCAUUAGAUUCCAAUUUUAUCAACUGAAAUCAAACAAAUAAUCCAAUUAAAUGAAAAUCAAUAUGUUUAAAGAUUUCUUUCUUUAUUACCUUAUGGAAUGAAAAUAGAUUCCAGUUGAAACAUAUAAUGAGCAACAAUAUAAAUAUUAAUAUGUCAUCUUUAUGAUUCCAAUUAGAAAUCAUAUAUUUUCUGGUUGGUACUAGUUUUGUUGGUACUACAAUACUUAAGAAUGAUUGCAUUGUACAAUUUCUUUUCAUUGAAAUUAAUAUGAAUUUUGACUUAAUGUGUGUAUAUAAAAUAAAGAUUAACGAGUGAGAUACCUUAUUCAUAAAAAAAGACUUGCUCAUUAUACUAUGAACCGUACUAUCUCAACUAAUUUGUUCAAAGUAUCUUCAAUAACUAUUUUUUCAGACAAUAAUUGAAGAAAUGUUUAAGGGUAUAAUAAUACACAUGCUUCUUUUAUUUCUCAGCAAAACUUAGCAGCUAAGUUCCUAGACAAAAUAGCACCUCAAAGUUCAGGUCAAGAAUAAAGCUCUAGAGUGGGUACAUUUUCACUUGACAUAUUGAGUACAUAAACUAUAAUUCAUGAAACAAUAUGUUGUGAGUAACAUAACAUAACAAAGAACAACCUCAUCACCAUUUUUUAUUAUAUUUAGUUGUUUCAUAAUGCAAUUCAUAUCUCUUAUUCCAACGCCGGUAUAAUGGUUUCAAGAAUAUUCCAGUUACAACUUACUUCUAAUAAUCAUGUGAAUAAGUUAUUCCUUCUUUGCCCCAUCUCGACUUUGUUAGAAUAAAUUCUAACACCGGUACAAUGGUAUCGAAGCAAUCCCCUAUGACAUAAUUAUUAAGUAGCUUUGAAUAGCAUCUCGGUUUUGUGGAAUAAAUUCCAACACCGGUUUAAUGGUAUUCUAAUGUACAAAAGUGAUGAAUAGUUAGUUGUUAGAAACAAAUNNNNNNNNNNNNNNNNNNNNNNNNNNNNNNNNNNNNNNNNNNNNNNNNNNNNNNNNNNNNNNNNNNNNNNNNNNNNNNNNNNNNNNNNNNNNNNNNNNNNCCAUAUUCAAAAGAAAUUGUUAGGAGCAUGAGCCAUCCAUCCAAGGAUUGGAUGCUUUGAGUUCCAAAUGAGAUUACAAAAUUGAUUUUUGCAUCUCAUUUGCCUUCUCCUUUUCUCCUUUUCUCCUCUUGAAUUCUAAACUAAAAUUACAAACUUACUUGAAAUAAAGUUCCUAAUAACUAAGAACAAGAAGAGAGAACUUCAGAGAAUUUCUAGGAAAAAUGUGAGUGAAAAUGUGAGAGAUAUGUGAUUUUGAUGCCCUUUUGCUCGAAUGGAAUGUGCCCUAUUUAUAGAAAUUCUUCUGGGUUGUUGAGCUGCUUGUCAGCCCCGCUAAGCAGUUGACCAAACCCUUCAGCAUGGGUUUGGUCCCUUGAUCAAGCAACUUUGUCACCUCCUUAUGCUUGACUCAUCAAAGCUAGUUGUGGGCUAUGAAACCAACUAUUGUGAGCAGCCUAUGGUGGGCUACUUGAGGUGAGGUCAUUGGUGACUUCAUGGUUUGCUUGUUGGUUAAGCCAAGUCUGGGUGCACACCACUCAGCACACCUGUUGCACUGCUAAGCUGCUUGUUCAGUAGCUUUGACCGGGCCGACUCGCACGUGGCCUGAUGCUUGCUGAUCUAGGCAGGAGUCUGGUUCUCCGCUAAGCUGCUUGUUCAGCAGCUUGGGCAUGUGCCAAGCUCGUGUCUGACCGUGUCAAGCUUGAGUUCUGACCGUGCCAGGACUAGUCUGGUGCUAGGCUGAGCGACCAAGCAGGUCCACUCUGCUGCUUGCUUGAGCAGCUUGGUCCAGGUCAGGCUGGUGUCGAGGUCAACUUAGCGUGGCUUGUUCUACGCUUAGCUGCAUGGAUGGACACCUUGGUUUUUGACUUUUCUUUUUGACCACGAAUCAUUUGUUUCUCUUCUUUUCUUCUUUCUAAAUCCUACAAAAUACAUAAAAAAGAAACACAAACACAAAUAUACAAGAUUGUGAUAUUUUAUACAAAAAAUAUUGUUUUAAGUUGGUUUUUCUCAAUUAUGCUUAAGAUAAGUGCCAUAAAAGUGUAUGAAAUUUAGGUAUGUUUGGCACUUAUCAAACUCCCCCCAACUUAGAACUUUGUUUGUCCUAAAACAAAACGUGAAAAUCAUCCGAACCCAAAUUGGCUAAAAAUAAUAAUAAUGAUCAACAUGAUUUCAAAUGUAUAAGCAUGUCAAAAAUAGAUUUCAAUGAGAUUUUUCAUGAGUUGUGAAUUUUGACACAUAAUGCUUCAAACAAGAAAUCAAUGCUUUUGCUUAUAAAAAAUGUGUAACCAUUUACCUAAACAAAUAUUUUUCUAACCAAAAAGUGUUUCUUUGCACACAAGUUCAAAGUUGAAACUUUUGAAGGGUAAGUGUUUCACUCAAAUUUUCAAGCAUUUGUUUGUAGUAAUUUGAACUUGUUCUUCAUCUCACCUAUUCUCUUAAAUUGUAUAAUUAAUCAAAGAUCAUAAUGUCUUUAUUUUGGUUGUAAUGAGGCUUGGUUUGGAUAAUGUUUUUUCAAGAUUUUCAAGGCUAAGUUUAAAAAUAGAGUAUUUUUGAAAAUUUUCUCAAUGGAAUACUUUACUCUUCUUUUUUCAUUAUUUUUCCCAACCUCUUUAACUUUUUGAACCUUGACUUCUAUUUUUCUCAAUCUCUUUUUGUUUCUUUUUUUAUUUUUUAAAGAUUGAGUUUUUCUUUUCUUUUGAGAAGCAAAGUCCACCAAUUUCCACCAAUUUUCCCCCCAACUUAAUCCUUUCAAACUAAUCUUUAAAAUUUUAAUGCUCUUUUAGAACAUUUGUUUUCAAUUCAGUUUCAUGGGAUAGUUUGAAAACAAAUUAUUUCCUUUGUUUGGCUCAAAUGGGCUUAUCAAAGGAUGUUCCUAAUUUGGUUUGAACAAGUUUAAUUAGACAAAUCAAAUGUUGAUUCUCACUCAUGUGUUUGGCUCACUCCCUUACUUGGUUUGGAUUCACACUUUUUUAUUUAAAAAAUGUUUGCAAAGAUCUUGUUACAUAAAAUUGAAUUUUCAAUUUGCAAAAAUUUCAAGUUAUGACAUUAUAUGAUUUUUUUCAGAAAUAAAAGGGAUUCAUCACCUAUGGAGACAACAACAAAGGAAGAAUCUUAGGCACUGGGAAUAUUGGCAACUCAACCCAUAUAAUAAUCGAGAAUGUUCUAUACGUAGAAGAUUUGGAACAUAACUUGUUGAGCAUAAGCCAACUAUGCGACAAAGGUAAUCAUGUGUCAUUUGAUUCUGAUUGUUGUAUCAUUCGUGAUGUAUUAUCUAAUAAUGUUAAAUUUGUCGGAUAUUGGGUAAAUAAUAUUUAUAUGGUUAAUCUGGAGGAUGUGACUUCUCUAUUUUCAAAAUGUUUUAUUUCAAAAGAAGAUGACAUCUGACUUUGGCAUAGACGCGUCGCUCACAUUCAUGUUAAGCAUUUAGAAAAAUUAUCUAAAAACAAUUUAGUAAUUGGUCUUCCAAAACUCGAUUUCAAAACUCAGGAUUCUUGUGACAUGUGUGAGAAAUAUAAACACAAAACGAAUGUGAUAUCCACUACUAGACCAUUGGAGCUUCUCCAUAUGGACUUGUUUGGACCGUCACAAAUUAUGAGUUUUGGUGGGAUUUAUUACGCUUUAGUAAUUGUCGAUGAUUUUUCUAGAUGCAAACCGACUUUAUUUUUAGCAUCAAAGAGUGAUGCUUAUAAAUCUUUCAAAUGUCUAGCCAAACAAAUCCAAAACCAGUCUAAUCUGAAAAUUGUUUACAUUCGAUCCAACCAUGGCGGAGAAUUCAAAAAUCAUAAAUUUAAUAAGUUUUGUAAUAAGCAUGGCAUCAUGCAUCAGUUCUCAGCUCCCCGCACCCCUCAACAAAAUGGAGUUGUUGAGAGGAAAAAUAGAGUUCUAGAGGAACUCGCGAGGACUAUGCUAAAUGAGAGCAAGUUUCCAAAAUAUUUCUAGGCUGAUGCAGUUCACACAGCCUGUUAUGUAAUUAAUCAAAUACUACUUAGACCUACUUUUUCGAAAACACCUUAUGAAAUACUUAAAGGUCGAAAACCCAAUAUUGCUCAUCUUCAUGCAUUCAGGUGCAAAUGUUUUAUUUUAAAUAAUGGUAAAAGAUCCUUAGGAAAAUUUGACUUGAAAGCUGAUGAGGGCAUAUUCUUAAGGUAUUCAUUACAUAGUAAGACAUUUCGCGUGUUCAAUAAAUAUACCAUGCAAGUAGAAGAGACCAUUCAUGUUCAUUUUGACGAAUCUUCUCCAAAAGAGAAGAGAAAGGUCUUUUAUGAUGACAUUUCAGGUACACUAGAAGAAGUGCAAUCCAAUGACAUGAAUAAAAUCCAACAAGAUGCGGAGCAAAUAGUAGAAGAACAACAUCAGGAUAUGCCUAUUGUAUGGAAGACUAAAAAUGAUCAUCCACUCGAUAAGGGGUUAGGUGAUAUAUCUACGGGGGUGGUAACCAGUAGUUCCUUACGUAAUUUCUAUAAUUUUGUUGCAUCCAUAUCUCAAAUAGAGCCAAAGACCAUCGAUGAAGCCAUCGAGGAUGUACACUGGGGUAUAGCUAUGCAAGAAGUGCUAAAACAGUUUGAGUGAAAUAAUGUGUGGGACUUGGUCCCCAAACCAUAAGAUCAUCCCGUGAUUGGCACCAGAUGGGUCUUUCUUAAUAAGCUAGAUGAAUCUGGCUUAGUAAUAAGAAAUAAGGCUCGCUUAGUGGCCAAAGGCUACAACCAGGAGGAGGGCAUCGAUUAUGAUGAGACCUACGCUCCUGUAGCCAGACUUGAGGCCAUUAGGAUGCUCUUGUCUUUUGCAUCAAUCAUGAAUUUUAAACUUUUCCAAAUGAAUGUCAAAAGUGCAUUUUUAAAUGGAUAUAUUCAAGAGGAGGUAUACGUAGACCAACCACCAGGGUUUGAAAACUUCAAAUACCCGUACCAUGUGUAUAAACUGAAAAAUGCCCUAUAUGGCCUAAAACAGGCUCCUAGAGCCUAAUACGAUAGAUUGAGUUCGUUCCUACUUGAAAAAGGGUUCGAAAAAGGUUUGGUCGACACUACUCUCUUUAUCCGUAGAUCAGAUAAUCAUGUUUUAUUUGUAAAAUAUAUGUUGAUGAUAUUAUCUUCGGAUCUACUAAUGACAUCCUUUGUAAGGAACUUUCUGAGUUGAUGCAGGGGGAGUUUGAGAUGUCGAUGAUGGAUGAACUGACCUUCUUCCUUGGGCUUCAAAUUAAACAAAUGGAAAGUGGAAUCUCCAUUCAUCAAUCGAAGUACUGCAAAGAAUUACUAAAGAAGUUUGAUAUGGAGCAAUGCAAAUAUGCAUCUACACCCAUGGCUUCCGCAUGUUAUCUUGACAAAGAUGAAAAGGGAAAAGCGAUUGAGGUAACUAAAUAUUGUGGGAUCAUCGGCUCCAAAUAGUACUAAACUUCUAGUCGCCCCGAUAUUAUGUUUAGUGUUUGUAAAAUAUAUGUGAUUGAUUAAAAUGCAUUAACAAUAAGUCUUGAAAUCCCUACAUGCUUUUAAAAACAUCCAGAAUGCUGUAUCUGAUGCACUUAAUCGAUUAAGUCAACUAGUUAAUCAAUUACCUGGGCAAACAUUUUAAAACUUGUCAUUUUUAACUCAGGUUAAUCGAUUAAGGGAAGCUGUUAAUCGAUUAACGACAUCAAUAUAUUAGAAAUAAAAGCAUUUCUGGGCAUUUUUCAAAACCCCAUUGAUCCCCUUUCUCUCAUACCUCAGAGGAACAAGUCCAACAUCAUCCCUAAGCUUUAACCUAUCCUAAACCGAAUCACCCCACUCCAUUUCCACUCCAUAAACCGGCUUCUUCAUCCCUUAUACAAAAUAAGAAUAUAUCUAUAAAAUAAGAACAAAUCCACAAAAUAAACAAAAAAAAGAUUGAAGAAGAAGAGAGAGAAAUCAUUGAAGAGAAGAAGAGUGAAAGAGUGAUAAAAUGAAUGUAAAAAGUAGAGAGAGAAUGAAUGAUGAGACAUGAAUGAAAAAUAUGGAAGAGAAGAAGACCCACUUCAUUUUUGGAGAGUGGAAAAUUCAUCCGAAAUUCAAAUCUCUUCAUUAAGAAAAUAGUAAUUCUUUUGAAAGAAAAAUAUAUAAACAAAAUAAGAGAUGCACAUAGAGUAAAAAACUAACCUACAUAAAUGCUUCAAGGGAGGCAAAUCACUCUUGGAAUAAGGAACACAUCUACAAAAUAAAUGAAAAAAUCAUUAAAAAAUCAGUAAGAACAUAUGUAGAAAUAUAAAAAGAUCUAUAAAAUAUGAACAUAGCUACAAAGUAAGAACAAUUCUACACAGUAAACAAAAAACAAUGAAGAAGAAGAGAGAUAAAUUGUUGAAGAGAAAAAUAGUGAAAGAAUGAUGAAAUGACGAGUGAAAAGUAGAGAGAGAAUGAGUGAUGAACCAUGAGAGAAAAAUAUGGAAGAGAAGAAGACUCACUUCAUUUUUGGAGAGUGAAAAAGUCAUCCGGAUUUCAAAUCUCUUCAUUGAGAAAAUAGUGAUUCUUUUGAAAGAAAAAUCUCUAAACAAAAUAAGUGACGCACAUAGAAAAAACUAACAUGCAUAAAUGCUUCAAGGGAGACAACUCACUCUUGGAAUAAAGAACACAUCUACAAAAUAAAUGAAAAAAUCAUUGAAAAAAUCAGUAAGAACAUAUCUAGAAAUAAAAAAUAGUUCUACAAAAUAUUCAGAUAUCUACAAAAUAAGAACAUUUCUACACAAUAAACAAAAAAAUAAUAAUGAAGAAGAAGAGAAGUAAUUUGUUGAAGAGAAGAAGAGUGUAAAAGUGAAAAAUGAAGGAGAGAAAAGUAGAGAGAAAAAGAUUUGAAUGUUAUUAAUGAAUGUUUUUAAUUUUAUGUGUGAGGUUGUACAUUAAAGAAGUGAGACAUUUUAAGCGGGAAAUUUUUGCAUAAGUUGAUGACAUGUGUCCCUAGUUGAUAUGACAAUUUUUUAUAGUUAUAUAAGUAAUAGAUUUUGUAUGACAAAUGUCUAUGACCAAUUGGGUAUGUCACUUAUGAUCACAAUAUCAUAUUUAACAUAUAUAUAGGAUGUAAAGCUUAUUUCAAUGAUAUAAGCCUUGAGAUUCAUUAAUUUUACCGUGUAAUAUUUAUAUGAGGUUAAUGUAAAGAUUUAUACAUAUUCAAUAUAUCAUUUGCACUUUAUUUUUAUUUAAGAGUCAAUAAUGAUUAAAUAGUGAUGAUUUAAGAGCCAAUAAUGGUUUAAUGACCGGUAUUAUUAGUGUACCAUACCACUAUUGAGAGCGGUUUACCAGUUGAACGAGCCGACACAAAGUUUUUAUAAUACUGAUAUGAGUUAUAAGAAUAUGCUACUAUUCUAGUAUACACAUAUUUAAAUUUGAUAACUACUAGUAUAUAGCUUACAUCAGAUUAGAAGAGGAAAUAAGAUUUCAAAUUAUAAGAAUAUUAUUUUUUAAUUCUCUUAAAUGCAGUAAUUUUUUUAAGUUCAUUAUAAAAUUUAUUAAAUUAUAUAGCUGUGUGAUAAUGACCUUGUAAUUACAUGUGUUACAAUUUGAAAAUAUCUAUUUUAGUACUAUUUGAUGACAAAAAUAGCAUAAUUUAAUUUAUCGAAAUAUUACACAUUAUUUUGUUGGACAUAUAAUUUAAAAUUAUCUACUUUUGUAAUAACGUCAAUUCAUUCUAUUUAUAAUACGAUCAAUUUGAAAAGACACAUUAUUUUUGAAUCUAAAAUAACUGCAUAUGGAAAUUCACACAAGUAAAACACAUUAAUUCACACCAUAAGGAAAUGUCACCUCCUUCUUUGAUUACAAAUUUGGCAAUUAAUUGUGAGCCUUAAUUUGAAUCUCAAUCAAGGCAAUUCAAGACAUUCAUUUUCCACCUAACCAAAUUAUUUUUUGAGUUAAGAUAAAACAAUUAAAUUAAAAUAAGAUAAAAAGAUAAUUUUUUUAACAAACAUACAAUUGUUGAUCUUUAUUCUUUUCGAGUUCAUAUUUAAGAAUAGAAUAAUAUGAUUAUAAGAAUAGAAUGAUUUGAGUUACAUAGCAUUAAAUAAUCAUUUAGUACAUAAAUGUUUUAUUGUGUUUUACCUUCUUGUCCAACGAAAACUAUGUCUAGUACUCUUACAACUUAAAAGAUUUAUUUACUUGAUAUUAUGAGUUGUAAUUUCAAUUUCUCUCUCCAAGAUUCCUUGUACAUCACAUAUUCACUAAUACCUCACACCCUUGGAAAACAACCUUUCCAAGUAUUAUCUUCCCUUUCUCAGCACACCCUUGUGAUGAAAAGUUUACAACAAGAUAUGAAGAUAACUUUCUAGGGAAAUGAUUGCAUUACAAGAUAUAAAUUUGCUAUAACUUGAAAUCAUAUUGCUCUUUAUACUCAUAGUAGACAAUGCUUAAUAUGCGUUUAGGUUUCUAAAACUUUAGAACAUGCACUUAAUGUAACUUCAGAAAAUUUUGAAAGUUUGGAACAAAGGUUAAAUAAGGAAGUGCAACGAAUUGUAAGUGAAAGUUGUGAAAGUUUGGAUGAUUAAGUGUUGGAACAUGGUUUGUUGAAAACCAUUAGUGAGAACUUUUGGGUGUGAAAUCUAAAAAAUUCUCAAGUCCCACAUAGAAAAGUUUUGAAAAACAAAGUCUCAAGUCCCACAUUGUAGAGAUGAGGAACAUGAAAAAAAUCUCAUGUUAUAAAUAGAGGCUUUCUUCCCUCAUUAUAACUUGCCCCAAGUUGAAUACGUUUUCAUUCAACUUUUUCUUUCUCCCUCAUAUUUUCCGCCUAUGCAUUUCCGGCAAACUUCUCCCCCUUUCUUUCCAUGACACUAUGAAUUGGCACAGGCAACCAAAUUGUGGGAAUUUCGAGAACUGACACUAGUAGUCAGUAUUGAGGGAAAAGAAUUGGCACAAAUAGCCAAAUUGUGGGCAUUUCGAGAACUAACACUGGUAGUCAGUAUCGUGGGAGGAGAAUUGACACUGUUAGCCAUAUUGUGGAAAUUUCGAGAAAUGACAUUGGUAGCCAUAUUGUAGUGGGUGUAUUCGAGAUUGGUUUUUACAGUACAGUAAGAAUUCGAUAACAGAGAACUAGCCUGUUUUAUCCUAGGGACGACGUGCUUGAUAGUCUGCUUGCACAUUUUGGGUAGUGUCACGAAACGUCUUAAAGAGAGCGACUUGGUCGUGACUCAGCCAGUAAGUAUUAUUUCGUGUCAUUUAUAAUUGUUGCAAGCUACGUUAACAACAAUUUUAAGAUGUUUCUACUGCAAUGACAUUCAUAGAUAAUAUUACUGGACCGAAUAACUAUGACCUGAACAAACCAUUUCGGUUUGAUGGGACAAAUUUCAAACGUUAGCAACAUAAGAUGAAAUUUUUCCUCAUUAUGAGAAAAUUUGCCACGUUUUGAAAAUCAAUGUCCUAAUGCUGCUGAAGAAAGUUGUAAAAAAAAGAAGAAUAAACUAGCUAUUAAUAUAGCUCUAUGGAAUGAAAAUGAUUACUUUUAUGAAUUUCAUUUUGAAUGAGUUGUCAGAUGGUCUCUAUAAUUACUAUAACCCAUAUAAGUAUGUCAAAUUAAUUUGGUAUGCACUUGAGAAAUAAAGAAAUAUGAUAUUGAGGAAGUUAAGAUAAAAAAUAUAUGAUGUUACCACUACCUCAAGUAUCAAAUGACUGAUAAUAAAUCAGUAGAGUCUCAGUCCUAUGAGAUACAUAAAAUUGCUCAUAAAAUCAUUUCCAAUGGUAUGACCCUAGAGAGUUAAACUCACAGAGCCUAUGAAUGUAUAUUCUUUGCGUAUGCUGUAAACAACAAGGCAUGCAAGUUUUAUGACCUUAACGCAAAAUGAUCACUGAGUCUAACGAUGUUGACUUUAAUAAGAAGAAAUUCCUUUUUAAAUUGAUGAAUAAUAGGGGCACAUCAACUAGUCACAUACAUGUGAUUAGAGAUGAUGAUAAAAAAAAUGAAAGGUUUGAAAUAGAACCUAGCAGAAGUAAGAAAGCGAUAACUGCUAAAGAGUAUGACUUGAUUAUAUUGUCUAUAUAUUAGAGGAGAAUCCAUCAACUCUCCAAGAAAUUGAGAUGAUAACAUUAACAACAGCCAAUGAAGAAGCGUUAGCUGAGAAGUUUGCUUGUAGGGAUUCCUCUAUGGGAAAAUUGAUACCAGUUGCAUUGAUCCAUUGUGAUAGUAUCAUGACUAUUGCAAAAAAAUGAGAACCACUUUUAUAACGGUAAAGAAACGACAAACUUGUCAUAAGUACAACACCAUUAGAGAGUUAAUCUUUACAAGAGUUAUUAGAGUGGAUUAUGUACACAUUGAGAAUAACUUAGCAUAUCCUUUGACGAAAGGACUAGCUAGAGAGAAAGUCUAUAAUACUUCUAAGAGUAUGUGACUAUUGCUCUUAGAACGAGGAUCACUGACGAUGAUAAUCCAACCUAACUGACUAGAGAUCCCAAGAAAUAGGUUCAAUGGGUAAUAACAAGUUGUGAAGUGAUAUGAGAAUGAACAUGCUAUAAAAUUAUGAGAAGCAUGAUUCCUGUAGCAUAUGUAAGGAUGAGUUAAAACUCUUAAUGAAAUCUAUACUCCAAUUGGAGUGGAGUACCUAGGCUACAAGAGUACUCUUGAUAGACUCACCUAUGUGAAUGUGGAAGUGAGGACCACUCCCUAUGAAAUUUUGGGGCAUAAAUUUCUAGAACGUUCACUAUACUGGGAUAGACGUGCAUGACCUUUAAAGCACGGGUUUUACAUAAUACAUCUUUGAAAAGGUUGUGUGUGGUUUGAUGCUGGAGAUAGAGUUCAAGACUACGAGUCACUCUAGUAAAAUCUGGAUGUAAUUCACUAUGCAAAGGGUCAAGUUGCAUGACACCUUUGUUUAUGCACAAUCUUAUUGAGACCACACAAAUAUUCUCGGAAAUCGUCUUUUAACUUCAAGUGGGGGAUUGUUGGAACAUGGUUUGUUGAAAACCAUUAGUGGGAACUUUUGGGUGUGAAAUCUAAAAAAUUCCCAAGUCCUACAUAGAAAAGUUUUGAAAAAAAGUCUCAAGUCCCACAUUGGAGAGAUGAGGAAUAUGAAAAAAUCUCAUGUUAUAAAUAGAGGCUUUCUCCCCUCAUUAUAACUUGCCCCUAGUUGAAUGCAUUUUCAUUCAACUUUCUCUUUCUUUCUGUGGCACUAAGAAUUGGCACAUGCAACCAAAUUAUGGGAUUUUCGAGAACUGACACUAGUAGUCAGUAUUGAGGGAAAAGAAUUGGCACAUGUAGCCAAAUUGUGGGCAUUUCGAGAACUGACACUGGUAGUCAGUAUCGUGAGAAGAGAAUUGGCACGGGUAGCCAUAUUGUGGGAAUUUCAAGAAAUGGCAUUGGUAGCCAUAUUGUGGUGGGUGUAUUCGAGAUUGGUUCAUACGGUGCAGUAAGAAUUCGAUAAUAGAGAUCUGAGUUGUUUUAUCCUGGGGACGGCGUGGCUGAUAGUCUGCUUGCACAUUUUGGGCAGUGCCACGAAACAUCUUAAAGAGAGCGACCUGAUCGUGACUCAGCCAGUAAGUAUUAUUUCGUGCCAUUUAUAAUUGUUGCAAGCUACGGUAACAACAUUAAGUGUCACGAAAUGGGUGUUCCUUGGCCUUUAAAUAAGCUUCCAAUAAGCCAAUAUACCCUUACACGAAGGUGGGACACGAUUGGAAUGAAACCCAUUUAGUUUGGAUGAAAGCUGUUGAGUUUGGAUUUGAAAAUAUGUUUUAAUAGCUAUGUGUAGUCGAUUACUGAAGCAUGUAAUCGAUUACCAAAAUAUUUUUGCAAUUAAGUAUCUAGUUACAUUAAAAUAAGAAAUUACGAGGAAGAUAAGAUUACUUAAUACAUAUUUUUCUUCUCUAUUUGUCAUUUAUUUUUGUUGUUGUAAGUGUGUCUUCAUGUUUCAUUCCAGAAUAUUGAUGCAGCCAUAGAGGAUCUGAAAAGUAAUAACUGUAAUAAAUAAUAUUGUAAAAUAAUUGACGAAAUUACUAAUUAAUCACAAUCCCAUAAAGGCCAAGUUAGGAAGCUCACAAUUGUGUAAACCUCGGUUGUUUGUGUUUAGCAAAUUUAUAUAUAUAUAUAUAUAUAUAUAUAUAUAUAGAAAUUACACAGUACCAAAAAUUAAGGAGGAUAAUAACGUGAAAAUUAAUAUAAGUAAUAGAGUAUUAAAAAAAAAAAGUCCCAACUGUAAACGUUACUGGUUGAUUAAACCCAACCACCCCUAGGUUUAGUGUCUUGUUACUCAGGAUUUUGAAAAUUGUUUUAAAUUAACUAAGAUUUUUCCAAUUAUUUUCAAAAUUGUUUUUCCACUUAUUGAGCCUUGCUACUAAACUAUUCAGAGAGCCUAAGGAUAGAAGUACCUAUUGAAGACUUAUAAACUAUCUGCCUUGAAGCUUGCUCUUCUUUCUCUACAAAGUCUUCCUCAUUUUUCUUCCUUUUAUGAUCUUGAUGUAUUCAUAAAAAAAAUAUGCCAAGAUUAGGAGCAAGACCUUCUUCAAAACAUAUAGGAUGAAUAAUCGAUUAAGAGUUGAAAUUGAGUUAGGGUUUCAAAAAGGGGGAAAGCAGGGUAAGUGAUUUGAAGAGGAAUUGAUGGGUUAGAAGAUAAGAAGAAGUAUGGAUAUCGAAUAGAGUUGCUUGAAAUUCAAUUUAGAGAUGAAAAACAGGACACAUUUGAGGAUGAAGGGAAUUUCAAGAUAGAACACACGAGGUAAACCUAAAACAGAAUUGAACUAAAACUGUACUUGAAUAUGUCAUGUAACUGGAAUUAAUCGAUUAAGUUUUGAGUUAAUCGAUUAAAAAGUCUGAAAAAUUAACAUAGAUAAUCGAUCAAGUCCCCAUUUAAUCGAUUAACACUCUUAAUAAUUUCUUAGGUAAUCGAUUAAAACACAUAAGAACUGAUUAAAUAAGUCAUUAUCUCUGAUUUUAGCACAAUUCAGAUUAAUUAAGGGUUUGCUAAGAAUCCACUAGAAAGAGCCUAUCCUAAUCAUUUAAUACACAGAAAGCCAUAUCCAAAACACAUGAAAACAUAUACAAUCAAGAAUUCAUGCAUUUAUUGGCGAUAAGUGUGAUUCUUUAGGAUUAGCUAGAUAUCUAGUAUACAUGUAAACACUAAGCAUGAUAUCAGGCAUAAUAGAUGAUAAAAACAGUAAAGAACUAAUCAUGCCUCUUAUUUUGUUACAUCAAUAGCCUUUAUCUUUUUCAUCCUUACCAAGAUAACAAUAAGUUGCCAUUUGUUGAAGUUUCUUUCACCUUUCUUCAAGUUCUUGAUUUGUCUCUUUCUCCUUCUUGCAUAACAUUUGGUCUUUUCAAUAUGCAUCCUAAAGGGCACAUGUAAAAUCAUCACAAAUACCUUUCCCCUCUUCUUUUGAAGAUGGCUCAUCAAAUGUAAAAAUGUAUAAAUUUUUCCAUGGUCAUUUAUCUUACAAUAUAGUAGACUUGUUAUACUAUUUCAUGAUUAGAAUAUCCUAGAAAUAUUUCUCCAUUCUUUUUUGAAUCAAAUUUGCUUAAUUUUUUUUUACAAUUAUUUAAGAUGAAACAUUUGCAUCCAAAAGCAUGUAAAUGAUAAAUAUUUGGUUUUUGGUCUUAAAAAAGGUUUUAUAGGGGGUUUUCUAAAAAAUAUGGUUUCACUAUGAUUUUAUUAAUAAAUUAUCUAUGUUACUUGAAAUGACGCAACACAUAGAGUUAGAAGAGAUACUUUAUUACCUUUUGUAACACAAUUUAUCAUUUUCCAAUCUUUCUAACUUCAAACAUUUGACUUUGAAAAUUUUCUCCAUAAGUUAUAUUCUCUUUUCCCUAGGUGAAAGCUCGAUGAAUCUUGAUCAUAUCACCGAAAAUGUGCCUAAAGCAUUCGUUCUCCAUGUACCAUUUGAUGUCCAUAUUGUGAAGAAUAUCUUACUCCUGACCUUGACACAAUUUUGAUAAAUAUAGUAAGAUCACAAAAAGAAGAAAAAGGAAGAAGACUAUGAAAACAUAGAAAAUUCAAGCUUCAAGGAUAUUAGAGUUUAAGUCUUAAAUAAGUACUUCUAUCCUUAUGCUCAAUUUAUAAUUAGUAGCAAUGCUCAAAGAAAUCAAAAUUAUUUUCAUAAGAAUUGGAUAAGUCUUUAUACAAUGUCAAAAAUGCUAAGUAAUGAGUUACUUGACCUAAGUAACAAGUUAUUAGAUUUGUAACAUGUUACCUGAAUUGUGUGACAGUUGGUAACAAGUUACUGAAACUACGUAACAUUCUAAUCGUGUCUCCUCUUGAUGGAAGGUUAUUUUGGCUGAUUGGAAUCCUAUUUAAAGGCAUUAAGACAUUCAAUUAACAUACAAUCCAUACACAAAUCAUAGAACAAUUUUUCAUAACUUAGUAAAAUAAUUUAAGUACUAUUUGGCAACUUUUUCCCCAAAUUUUCAAAUUUUCUAAGGUUGCUUUAAUUGCUUAAGUUCUAAACUUUCAAAAAUAUAAGAACUUUGUUUAAUAAGUAUGUAUUGUGAGAAAAAGGAUUCCAAGUUAUAGCAUUGUCAAAAAUUGUAAAGACAAUCCUGCCAUUGAUAUAUUCUUCAUCUUGUUGUAAAAUUUUCAUCACAAGGGUGUAUUGAGAAGGGGAAAAGAGUUCAAUUGGAAAUGGUGUUUCCCAAGAGUAGAUAGUUGUGAGUGUGUAAGGUACAAGGGUCUCGAGGAAAUAAUAUGUAGUUGAAACUCAAAUUAUCUAGUGGAAAAAUAUCUUGUGUGAUAAGAGUACUGGAUAUAACUUUCGGUGGACAAGAAGGUGAACCAAUAUAAAAUUAUCUAUGUACUCUUCUUCUUCUGCUCUCUUUGUGUAUUUACUUUUAGUGUUUAACUUGGUUUAUUUUUGCAUCAACAUUCCAAUGCACAAACAUUUUGAUAUUAAAGUAGAAAAAUCAGCCAUUUCUCCCAACAACUAAUUCACUCCCCUCUUAGUUGCUAUUUAAUACUUACACAUAUAUCAUUAGGCACACCUAAAAAAGAAAUUUGCUUGCAUGUCUUGGGUACCCUAAUGAUCUUGGGUCCCUUAGUAUUAGUUACCUUGGGAUCUUCUCCCUUAGAAAUCCACAUAUAUUGUCCAUUUGGCAUACCAUACAUACUAAUAUGACAUGAACUUAAAGUAUGACCAUGCACACCAUAAUAGAAACACGUAGGAGACUUAUGAUAUGAAAUUUUCGAAAAAUCUACCCCUUUCUUGUAAUAUUUGUUCUUUGCAUGUGUAUAACCCAAUCCAGACCUAUUUCCAAACUUUCAAAUUUUAUGAAGUUGCUUUAAGUGCUUAAGUUCUAAACUUUCAAAGAUAUAAGAACUUUGUUUACUAAGUAUGUAUUGUGAGAAAAAAGGAUUGCAAGUUAUAGCAUUGUCAAAAAUUGUAAAGGCAAUCCUGCCAUUGAUAUAUUCUUCAUCUUGUUGUAAACUUUUCAUCACAAGGGUGUAUUGAGAACGAGAAAAAAGUUCACUUGGAAAUGGUGUUUCCCAAGGGUAGAUAGUUGUGAGUGUUUAAGAUACAAGGGUCUCAGGGAGAGAAUUUAUAGUUGAAACUCAAAUUAUCUAGUUGAAAAAUAUAUUGUGUGGCAAGAGUACUGCAUAUAACCUUCGGUGGACAAGAAGGUAAACCAAUAUAAAAUUAUCUGUGUACUCUUCUUCUUUUACUCUCUUUGUGUAUUAACUUUUAGUCUUUAACUGGGUUGAUUUCUACAUCAACAUUCCACUACACAAACAUUUUGAUAUUAAAGUAGAAAAAUCAGCCAUUUCUCCCAACUAAUUCACUCCUCUCUUAGUUGCUAUCUAAUACUUACACAUAUGUCAUUAGGCACACCUACAAAAUAAAUUUACUUUAGUGUCUUGGGUAUCCUAAUGAUCUUGGGUCCCUUGAUAUUAGUUACCUUGAAAUCUUCUCCCUUAGAAAUCCACAUAUAUUGUCCAUUUGGCACAACAUACAUACUAAUAUGACAUGAACUUAAAGUAUGACCAUGCACACCAUAAUAGAAACAAGUUGGAGACUUAUGAUAUGAAAUUUUCGAAAAAUCUAUCCCUUUCUUGUAAUAUUUGUUCUUUGCAUGUGUAUAACCCAAUCCAGACCUAUUUCCAACAUUUCUAGAUGUAGCAAGUACGUUGUUUAAGUUGUGACUACUUGUGAAAUUUGCAACUUUAUCUUUAAAACUUUUUUUCUCUUUUUUUCCAAAGAAAGUGCAUUUUUCACAAGUUUGGGUCACAUUUAAUUUAGUAGAAAAAUCAUAUGAAGAGUUAGCAUAGUUAAGAUCUAACAUUUCAUUUUCUAAUUUAAGCUCAUCAAUAAAAUUUUGCAAUUCACAUAUUUUCUUUUCAUGUUCCAAAAUUCACAUUUUGUCAUCUGCAUACUUUUUUGUUAACUUUUUAAGUUCUUCAUGCAUUUCAAUAUAAGAUCCAUAUAGUAUAUCAUACGCAAGGGAAUUAUCAGAGUUACAAUCAGAAUCGGAAGACCUUACCUCACUAAAUUCACCUUGCUCACUAAUUCGGCAAGACUUAUGAUUUUGCGCUAUAAGGCAUAGCUUGGUCGAUUAUUCAUCUUUCGAGGUGCUAGAUAUUGUGUCCUCUUCGGGUACAUCCCAAAUGAUAUACGCCUUCUUGGUCUUGAUAUCUCGAGAGUCUUUCUUUUCAUGCUCAACCUUCUUGAGAUAAGUAGGAUAUGGGUACUUCAUGUGCCCUACUUUUCCACACUCAUGGCAAGUUAAUUUGUCUUUGUGAUACUUGCCCUUCUUGAUUGGGUCUUUUGCAUCUUCUUCUUGAAACUUUAUGAAUCCUCCCUUCUUUCUUAAUAACUUUAUGAAUUUUUUGACAAUGAGGGAUAUAGUUUCAUCAUGGAUGUUGGAAUCAGACUCAUCAUCAUCAAAUCUCUCUUCUUGACUUCUUGGUUGUCAUGUUCUAUCAGAGUUACAAUCAGAAUCGGAAGACCUUACCUCACUAAAUUCACCUUGCUCACUAAUUCGGCAAGACUUAUGAUUUUGCGCUAUAAGGCAUAGCUUGGUCGAUUAUUCAUCUUUCGAGGUGCUAGAUAUUGUGUCCUCUUCGGGUACAUCCCAAAUGAUAUACGCCUUCUUGGUCUUGAUAUCUCGAGAGUCUUUCUUUUCAUGCUCAACCUUCUUGAGAUAAGUAGGAUAUGGGUACUUCAUGUGCCCUACUUUUCCACACUCAUGGCAAGUUAAUUUGUCUUUGUGAUACUUGCCCUUCUUGAUUGGGUCUUUUGCAUCUUCUUCUUGAAACUUUAUGAAUCCUCCCUUCUUUCUUAAUAACUUUAUGAAUUUUUUGACAAUGAGGGAUAUAGUUUCAUCAUGGAUGUUGGAAUCAGACUCAUCAUCAUCAAAUCUCUCUUCUUGACUUCUUGGUUGUCAUGUCCUAUCAAGACAUCUUAUAACUUUGUUAGCCAAUUCACCAUUAGCAAGCACUUUAUCUAAUGAAAAAAAGAUGAUUAACAAUGUGAUUAAAUCGCUUUUGCAUAUUAUUAAUAGAUUAAUAUGGAAACAAGCGAAAUAACUCAUAUUCAUGUGCCAAUGCAUUUAAUCUAGCCCGCUUGACUUCACUAGUGCCUUCGUGUGUUACUUGUAAAGUAUCCCACAUUUCUUUGGCACUCUUGCAUUGUGAAACAUUAAAGAAUUCAACAUCUAAAAGUGCAUCAGUAAUAUUGUUUUUAGAUUUGAAAUCAUGUUGCAUUUUUCUCUUAACCUCAUUGGUCUAGAGACUUUUUGGCUUUUCUUUAGUUUCAUCUUCCACUAAAUGAAGUGGAAUAGAAGGUCCAUUUUGUGUGGCAUCCCAAAUAUGCAUAUCUAUAGCCUUAAUAAAGAUCCUCAUUCUGACUUUCUAGUAAGCAUAGCCCUCCCUACUAAAGAUAGGAGGGCGGUUGAUAGAGGAUCCUUUACCACUGAAAGGAUUUGUAGAGCCCACAGUGUAUAUCCUUGGGAUUAUACGAAUUUGUAGAGCCCACAAAACUUAAUCGAUUAAGUAGUUCUUGUUUCUUGAUAAACUUGUUUUCUUUAAACACCAAGAUGCAAAAAUUUGAGUAAACUUGUAUGCACUCUACAAGAUGAUAAUAUAAAGUUAAUGACACAUAACAAAAUAUGCAAUUAACUCUGAGAGAUUUGAAUGGCAAGUAAAAGGAAUCAAACAAUGCAAAAACAUAAAGAGUUAAGGGAUAAGGAAAAUGAGACGACGAAUUAUCCUGGUUCGAUUGCUAAUUCAUAUACAAUCUACAUCUAGACUUCCCCUUAUAAUAUUGGGAGAUUUUCUUCACUGUGGAGCAAAUGUUUUACAAACACACUUCCACCACUUCUAAUGGCUUGCCUUCACCCACUUCAAAUGGCUCCUCACCACUUCUAAUGGACGGCUCCACCACUUCUAACUUCUCUACAAAGACUCUUUUGCAGUGAACCUAACUUCUAAUGGCUCCUCGCCACUUCUAACCAGGGUUUCCCAAACCUUUUCUCUUCUUCUUGGUGAUUCCAUACACCAAAGAGAAAUGUUAAUACAAUUGUCUAGAAUGUGUACAAAUGAGUAAUGCACCUAAACAUACUGAAUAUGCAUACACUUCCAGAAUCUAAAACCUCUCUAAAAGUCUCACACAUCCUAGGAUUAAGAUGUGAGAUGAAAAGUUUUGUAAACUUGAUUUGACUAUAAAAAUCUUGAAAUACUUCUAUAAGGAUUCAUCAUGUAUUCACUUAUCUCUUUUUGUGUAUCAAAACACUUUUCUCUCUUUUUUAGAAACACUUUGUAAAAUCUAUCUUUUGAUGUGAAAGUGAAAAUCAAUCUAAUUCCUGAAUAUGAGAUGCAAAUGGGAAAAGUUGGUUUAAAUUAUAGUUCUAUUUUCUAAUGUAGUUAAUUGAUUAAACACUCUACUUAAUCGAUUAACGAUUCUUUAAAAAUCAAGAUUUCAGAAACUGUAACUUCCAUUAGUUGAUUAACCCUUAACUUAAUCAAUUAACGGAUUCCCAUUUUGCACAACUUAAUCGAUUAAAUAAACCUUAAUUGAUUAAUGGUUUUCUAGAAGUUACUUUGAUGUGAUAUAAACCUCCUACAUGAUUUGUAAAAGUGUGAUGCAACAUUUUGAAUGAUGUGUGAUUUAAACAAUGUUUAAUGCACCAAAACCACGUGAUCAUGUAUUUAUACAUGUGCAUGUAAAUCAUGUAUGUAUGUAAGGUUCAUUAGUAGUUAUGCACAUGUUUUAGGCUGUGAUGCUUCCAUUAAGGUUCACCUAACCUAGACUCAACCCAAUCAAACAUCUUAAGACCUAAGAUAACAUAAAAUACAUUUAGCCUUCUAGAUCUUCUUGAAUGCUUGAACUUUUAGUGAACUUGAGCCUUGGCUUUGUUGUUUGUUGAUUUGCCCAUAUCUUCAAGCUUGUCUUUAAACUCUGUCUUCAUCAAAAUCCAUGUGAUGCAUGCUUGAAUUUACACUUUUCUUGCUUGUAGGUUUUUUUAACCAAGUUUAUUUGAUCAGUUUCCAUUUCAUAAAAAUAUUGGAGUUGUGACAAUUUUGUGUUGUGCAAUAUUGGGGUGCAAGAAUGGAGAUGAUCACAUUCAAGUGAUUUAGGUUUAUGGGUAUGGAAGAAAUGCUCUUACAUGACCAAUCUUUCAUUUUUUUCAACAUAUUUUUUAUCUCUCUCAUGCGAAUGCUCAUUACAGGUAGUGAGGAAAAAAACUUAUUUUAUUUGUUGGGUUUAUGGGACUAGGGCUCUUAGCUUAUGUAGAGAAAUAGAGGAGGGAUAGAAAGGAGUUGGGAAAUUAUGUGAAAUGUGAAGAGGGCCUAGUUAAUAUCUAUAGGUUAUGAAUUAGAUUAGAUGUGAAGAUUUGAAAAUAUAAUUUAACAUGAUAAAUGAUGAUAUAAAGAUUUCGGGUAGAAGUCAUAAUAUGUUUCACCUUUUUAAUGCAUUAUUCUUAAUGGAGAGUAGAUUAAAAAUCAAAUUAAUCUAAUGAAAAUGUACUUAAUUUUAUUACUCUUUUGUUACAUCUUAAUUUUAUUAGAUAUAGAAGUGAAAGCUACUUACAAAAUACUAGUCAGAUCAACUCACACUAUCGACUCACUUAGAUUUUAUUACAUAUGAUAUAAAUAUUUGUAUUCGUUUUUAUUCCAUAUGUUUGUCAAAUAUUAAAAUCUGAUGAUAAAAGAAAAAUAUAAGAUGGUUUGGUUAUUUAGGUAUGUGAGAUUAAGUAGAUUAGGUGUUGCAUAUGGAGAAAUUUGUUUUUGAAGGUAUCCAUACUUCUACUAACAUGCCGUAACAUUUAAGGAUAUACAAAUAAUAACAUAAAUGCUAUCCCCACUAGUAUAAAUCCACAUAACAUAAAUCGAUCUUUUCCUUUACAAGGUUGCAUUAAUUUAUUGAUUCAAUUUGAUAACGAUAGAUUUCAUAGAGAAAUAUGGAUAUUUAAAAUUUUAAGUAACAUAAGAUGAAACUUUUGCAUCUAGCACUAUCCUGGUCAUAUGGAUAAUGAAUCUGGAUUGUUACUGGAAUAUCUUACCUAAACAAUCUUUUAAGGCUUCUUAACAAAUUAACAUCCCUAUCCAAAACCGCAACAAUAUUUCUAUAACUUUAUCUUUCCAUUUUGUCCAAAUCCAACUACAAGAAUGCAUGAAAUAUCCAUAGGUUCCAUCAUCUUAGUGAUCCAAUAUCGACGAGCCUCAAUUAUCACUAUACUUGUGAUUAGCCAUAGACUCUCAACCAACUCCAUUGUCCAUCCUCAAUCAUCAAGGGAACUUAAGAACAUCUAUCUUUGAUCAAAAAUUAUUUUAAAAGUUAUUAUCUCCAAUUACACAUAAAGCUAAUAAACACAUAUUGAAAAACAAUUCAACAUGUGUUAAAUGUAUGAAAUGUGUCAUGGUAGCUAACUUAAUACUUUUUGAAGUCUACUUGGAGAACCUUGGGAAGAAUGGAGAGUGAAUGAGGGACACGUAAUGAAGGUGUGUUGCUGAGGUAGUGACAUUCUUCAUCAUGCAUGGAAUUUGGAUUACUUCAUAAGUGCUGGUGGCUUCACAUUUCACAUUUCACAUAAUAAUGGUCCAGAAUUGUUUUAUAUGCUUCAUUCAUAUAUGGAAUUUGCCGCUACAUGAUAGUAUAAUGUAUCAUUUCCAAAAUAAAGUCCAAGUUCAUGAGAUUGAAAAUAAAUAAAAAUCAAUGAUUCAUGUAUGAGGAAGCAAUAAGUAUAUAUGCAUGAUUUCCCCGUCCAUGUAUAUCCAAAAAGAGUUGUGUAGAUAAAUGGCAUGCACAUGACACCUCAAAUUUGUCAAGAAGAACACUCAUCAACCUGCAUGGCACCAUUUAUUAAGAAAAUGAUCUAUAAAUAUGAGUGAUCUUAGUCCCAGUUUUCAUCAUUGAGUGUAAUCUAAUAUAAUCAAAUAUGGCUAGGAUGAGAGUGAGAUUUCCAACCUUAGUCUUGCUACUAGGAAUAUUAUUCCUCAUGGCAGUGUCAAUUGGUAUUGCUUACGGAGAAAAAGAUGUGAUAAAGAAUCAUGAGAGGCCUGGCGAAAGAGAACAUGAGGAGCGUGACCCAAGACAACAACCACGUCCGCGUAAACAAGAGGAGCAAGAAAGAGAGCAUAGGAGAGAAGAGGAGCAUGAUCGUGACCCUUCACGUGGUAGGAGGGAGAGCGAAGAACGCCAAGAAGAAGAGCGUGAACGAAGGAGAGAACCUUGUAGGGAGAGAGAGCAAGAACAACAACCUCAACAUGGAAGGAGAGAGGAGGAAGAAGAAGAGGAAGAGUGGCAACCUAGGAGACUACGACCUCAAAGUAGAAAGGAAGAGAGAGAGCAAGAACAAGGCUCUAGCUCAAGCUCACGUAAGCAAAGUGGUUAUGAGAGGAGACAAUAUCAUGAGAGGAGGGAGCAGAGGGAUGAGAAGGAGAAAGAGCAAGAUUCUCGCUCAGACUCACGCAGACAAAGGAAUCCUUAUCACUUUAGCUCUGA
rnacentral:lncRNA from 1 species